rnacentral:lncRNA from 1 species
CUCUUUUAUAAGGUUUUGAAGAUACUUCCCAUCAUAUUUUGGUCCCAUUAAAGAUUUGAAGAAACUUUUUAUCGUGGAAAGCAAACCACUGGAAAAUUUGGAAAAGAAUCAUUAAUUUGUCAUCUGAAUCGUCCUGAACUUUACUAGCCAACAUGACACAAUAAUGAGAAUUGUAUGUGAAGAGGUACUCUUUACCAGAAAAUGAAAUUUAGACCACAGCACAUAUUAGCACUAUCUUGUGGAAAUAUCUUCGGGCAGUUGUCAAGGUAGAAUUGAUUGAUAUCUUUAGCUGCAUAGACAGGACGCUUGCUUUCGUUUGGUGCAGUUAACAUAGCUGUCACUAGUCCCCCGGUGCUUGUUCCUGCUACUACGUCAAAGUAAUCUGCAAGUCUUACAUCAUCCCCAUCCAACAACUACAUACCCCAACACCAAAAUACAAUCCUUAAAAUCAGAAUAAGAUACCUAAAAUAUGUGUAGAAUUAGGCAUGCAAAUAGAGGAUCUACUUUAUCGGAAAAAAAAAGUAGAGGAUCUAAGGAGAGAACCAUCUGUGAAACUGAGUGUUGCACAGAAUGGGAGCAAAACCAUGAUCCUAAAUAUCUUGGUAAAUUAAGGUAGUCAAAAGUGAUCGAUCAAGAUCGAGGCUUUUUCUUUGCCUUGGUAUAGAUGGCUUCACAACCAAAACCCAUAUCAAACUAUGCGAUUCUGCAAAUACAUUUAAACUUUGAAGUUUUGAAUGACAGCAGAGAUCUUGUUGGUGGAACCAACUAAAUAAGAAGAAUAUGUUGCUUAAUCUUAACAAGGAAAGCUUUACUCCUAUUUACAGGUAACCAAGCCGUACCCAGAGGGCAAAACUUAAUUACAAUCUUGUUUGUCUGGAAAUCUACAAACAGCUUGUCUUUAUAGGGGAAAACACAUUGGUGCUUCUCUAGUUCUCUUUGAAGGAUAGCUCCUUAGCUCCUCAAAAUAUCUCUGGCAAAACAUAAUACAUUUUCUUCCCUGCAUUUUAGAUAUAGUAGGUUUGCAUGCGUGUGAUGUGUGUGAAUAUCAUGAAUACUGUACCUGGAGUUCUGAUUCCAAGAACGCGAGAAUAGUUCCUGGAAUGAUCCCUUUUAUCCCACCCCCGUCAAUACUAAGAACUGUAACUAAAUUUCCAUAAAUUGGGGGUUCUAAAGCGAGGGAUGAAUAGUUUGUCUCCAUGAGUAUGCUACUGAUUCGAUGAAGUUAAAUUAUUGGAUAAGAAAGGAUACUAACAAUAUAUUGUAAAGUACAGAUAAAUGAAGUUCUGAAGCUCAUAUUAUCUUAGUUGCUAAUGUGCUUGUAGGAGGUAUUAUAUAGCAUCUUGAAGCUUAGUAGGGAACCUUCGUUCUUCUUCUUCGAGAGAAUUUACUUUGAGGUGCCUUACCAAUUUUGACAUUUCAGAUGCGUUAUAGAAGUCAAACUACAAAUCACAAAUUUGCCUUUUCUCUCUUAUAUAUGCUUCUUAUUUUUAAUAUUAGAUUUACCUUUAGCUAAGUAUUUCCAUGUUGCCUACCUUUGUGUUUUAUCUAAAUUCAAGUACAAACCUACCUAAUUUUGCAUGGAAUUAGUCCUCAAAGUUUUUAAAAUUAGUUAAAUAUCCCACCAAAAGAUGAUAUUGUAUUUGUAUUUCAAGAAGUUAUUUUAAAAUCUUAACCAAAAAUGGUGUUACACGACUGAGAAUUUGCGUGGUCAAUCAAACAGACCAUUAGUUUUUCAUUAAGAUGGCGACAUGGCGUACAAAAACUGUUUAGCCAUUCUUAAAUUCAAAAAUUGCAUACAUAUUUAGAUUUAACAAAUUUUGGAUUAGUGCCAAACAUGAACUUAAAAAUAUAAGCAGAAUAUAUACAAGUGUGACACAAGCUUAAUUGUUUUCAUUCUCUCUAUUGUUUCCAACUUUGGGAUAAGCAUGUAUAUUGCUACAAGUCAAUUAAACUGUUUUAGCUUGAUAUUCUUGCAGUAUGUCACAUAAACCUUUAGGAAUAUUGUGGCCUUAAUUUAAGCUUAAGUAAACCACAGAAAGUAGGUACAGUAUUUAAUCGUCUUCGAAUAUAGAAAACAAUUUAAUUAGCCCUUUAAUUUCUUGAUCACCAGCAGUCACUGUAAUAUUUACAUUUGUUUAAUUAUCAUCUUGAAGUUAUGAAAUUCUAAAUUCACUCUGUGCUUUGAAUGUACUGCUUACAAUGAAUAGGGGUUUAAAGCAUUCUCGAUCAGAAUCGUCAAAGAACUGAUGGAUAAGAAAAAUGUGUGGACAGUUCAACAUAGGAUAACCUCGAUAAUGUUUACAUAUAUUCCUAGAAGAUGAUCAGUUUGAAGAGAAAUGUUCAUGCUAAGAUACACAGCUCAACACAUUGCGUCCAUGAUAAUGUGACUGAAGUAAUUGGACAAAUAUAUGCAACAGUAUACCUACAACUUGCAUAUAAACUUGUACAUCUUGUUAACUUAACAGCUGGAAACAUUAGAAAAAGAUUUAGUAAACAAGGUAGCUCCAUUCAACUCUCUCUUAAACCACAAAUGAAACUUCUUGCAAAAGAUGGUUGUCAACAAGAAAGAAAGUAUUAAAAAUGUGGAUUAAGGUUUUCUAAACAUUUUGACAUUAAUCCAAACUUCCGAAGAUCAAUUAAUCAAACUUUUUUUUUAUUAUAUUUAUUAUUUUCUGACUUAAUUGAUAGCCAUUGCAAUUGAACCUGCCUAUAAGGUCAUGGUCAUGGUGUGGAUUACUAUCAAAAUUGCCUGACUAGAUUUCAUGAGGUGAAUUGAACAAGACUGCAUUGACCCUGAACUUGAGACCUUGAAUAUAGUAUAUUUUCAUGCUUGUAUAGUAUAUCUCUAUAUAUUGCCACUUAAUCCAAUAAACAACAACUCCUAAUUCCUAUCUAAUUUUGCAUUGUAUUAUAUAGUUUACGUGCACCGGUGGUAGCUCAAUUGGCCUGGCAUGACGACUAUAUUCUAUGCACUGGUGACUGGACUACUGGUCAUGGACUAUUCGGUUUUUUAUAUUUACCAACAAAACAGAUGAAUCAAGGAAAUGUUGAACUGUCAGUACUCAGUACCCACAGUUAUUUGAAGUUCAAAUGCAUGUCUUGACCACAUAAGUAGCUUUUGUUGUUGUUGCCUAUGUGAUAUGGAGGAUUCACUGUUCACUGGAACACUAGCAGCUAUCACUGAAAUACGUAGCAGUAAGUAUUUCUUUCAUAUUUACUCAAUAAUUAAUGCCUGGCUGUCUUUUGGAUUUUAUUUUGUCAAUUAAACAAGUUCCUUGUCGCAAUUCGCAUGUUGAUCUUAUAUUGUUUGAUAAUAAGCCUUUGAGAAUGUUAUACAAAUUUCAUUCUAUUUGUUUUGUGGUUUGAGCAAUCUAGGCGUACUUGAUUAUUUUAUAUUGACUUUGUGUAUACACAUCGUCGUGAACCCAUUUAUAUUCGACUCUACUCGACGUAACACCACUUUUACUCGAGCUCACUUCGUGACCACAAAUAUAAAUCCAAUCCGACCUUAACAUACCUUCAUUCGACAUGGACCUAUUUUUAUCCGACCUCACCCGACGUGAGACUACCACUAUUCGACCUACAUCGUCUUCGUUCAAAGAUUAUACGUUUCGAUUCUCUGCAGUUACAAUAUAUUUCCAGAUCCAAAAUAUCCGCCCAUUAAUUGACCAAGCCGUUGGGCAAUUAAUGAGCUAUCCGUUGUCCCAAUCACCUAUAUAUACGAACUACGUGGGCUUGAUUCUGGGACUUAGCCACUCUCAGAUACGUAGGCAACUAUCUAAAUCAGAUAGCUCAGCCAUUUCCACAACCUCAUCUCCUUCCCCUCUAAAAUUCCGAUCAUCUUCUCCGACUUGUUCCAAAAACCAAAUUCACUUACAUUUACAUUGGCGCCGACUGAUUCGUGAACGGACAAUAACCUGACAACCAUGGCAACAAUUACUAAUGAGCAAUUUGAACAACUCCAAAAGCAGAUGGCUGAUCAACAGGAACAGAUUAACAGGCUGGUGGCUGAAAACAAUCACCUUAAGAGCACCACCGCCACCACUAAUGGCACACCGCUCAACGGAGUUGCUGCAAAUGCGCUCAAUGCUGAAGAAGUCACAACAACCGUCAACAACCCUGCUCUACCCACCUCCAGUAACACCGCCGCCCCCACCAUGGCUGACCUUCAAGCUGCUCAUGACAGAAUACUACAGCUGUCGGAAAAGCUUGAUAAAAACCAUCAAGAAUCACUUAAGGCUAACACAGCCCAAAAGGUAGCCUCAACAACCCUGGAACUUUAUAAGAUAGAGCCCCUUCAUGAAGACCUCCUCCAACAGGAACCCCCCCCAAAUUUCAUACCUCCAAAGUUCACCACUUACGAUGGAAGUGGAGACCCAAUGGAUCACGUCCUGCAGUUCAAGACAAGUAUGGCCUUAUGGCCAAAGUACAAGGACAUUUUCUGCCGAUUGUUUUCUGCAUCACUCCGUGGGAGUGCAAUAGACUGGUAUCAUCGAUUACCAGAAAGAUCUGUUACAUCGUACGACCAACUAGAGUCACUUUUUGUCACCCAGUAUAUCCACAACAAAAGAAGAAGAAUCGAGGUUACUGCCCUUUUUCGUCUCAAACAAGAUGAAACUGAAACAACAAAGAAGUUCAUGGCAAGGUUCAAAAAGGAAUGCCUGCGAGCCGAGAAUCCAGAUGAAUACUCGUGUCUUUUGGCCUUCAUAUCUGCUGUCAACCCCAAUACAGCAUUAGGAAAAAAUAUUAUCCUAGAUGCACCUGCAACAUUGGAAGAUCUGUAUGUACGCGCUGACAAGUACAUCAAACUGGAGGACGCCCUCACAAAAUCCAAAGAGCGAGUAGCUGUUGUCCAAACAACAGAGUCCACUUACUCAAAACCAAAGCCGAAUCGAUCAGAGUACAAGGGCAAGACAACAUCCAAUGCCAAAUCCAAGUUUCCGAAUCCCUUCAAGUGCUCAUACAAUCAACUCUUCGACCUCAUCAAAGAUGAGGAUUACUUCCAGCCUCAGGUUCAUGACCUAGAACCAAUUGAAGGCAAACCAUAUUGCAAGUUACAUAAGUGCCGUCACCAUCUCACUGAAGAUUGUCGUAUUCUGCGAGCUUACUGUCACAAGCUCAAGGAGGAGGGUCACCUCGAUGACUUCCUCUCUGAAAAUGAACCUGACCUCCGCAACAAACUAGAGGCCAAAAGACAAAAGACCUCGGAGGAGAAAGGUAAAAAGCCUAAGGGAACCAUUAACAUGAUCAUGGAUGCCCGACCUCCCGAAUGGUCAGCUCGCUCAAAGAAACAAAAGAUUCAUCACAUCCACCAUACCUUCCACUUGACUCACAAAGCAAUCGUGGCUAAACAAGUCACAGGUAACAAUGCCUUGAUUUUCUCGGACUUUGACCUUAAAAAGGUAUGUCUCCCACAUAAUGAUGCAUUGGUAGUCCACAUCAACAUCGGGGGGUGGAUAAUGAAAAAAGUGCUUAUCGACCCCGGAAGUUCUUGUGAUGUAAUAUUCAACAAGGCAUACAGUCAAAUGCAGAUGCCCGACUCGGUCCUUCAGAAGCCACAAGUCACUCUCUUUGCAUUCAACUCAACUGAAACUGAAGCAAAAGGUGAAAUUUGUCUUCCCGUAGCAACUGGUGAAAAUGAAGACGAGGUAACUGUGUAUUGCACCUUCUUCGUCCUCGAUGUCCCCGCUCAGUUCAAUGCAAUUCUGGGACGAAAAUGGAUUCAUAGAAUGAAAGCAGUACCAUCGACAUACCAUCAGGUCAUCAAGUUUCCUGGCCCUAGAGGCAUCAUGGAAUUACGAGGUGACCAAAUCGAAGCACACGGCUGUCAUGCCAUACCCGAGGUUAUCCCACUCCCUAAUAAGGUGGAUACCUCCACGACGGUGGCGAGCUCAUCUAAGCCCACUGUCAAUAUGAUCGCUGCAAUCUGCAAGGCAGUCGAAGACUCAACUCAAACCACUGAGAAUGAAAUCUCACAAGCUCAAAACGGCAAGGAAAUUGUUCAUCCAUCUGACCCACCUGUCAUUGAACAAGGUGAAAAGGUCAACAUAGGAUCGGAUAACGAUCCUAAAUAUGUCUAUGUAGGGGCUAACUUGGACCCCAUUGUAAAAGAGCAACUUGUUGCUACUCUUAAGAUGAAUAAAAAUGUCUUUGCUUUUGCUUAUACCGACAUGCCAGGGAUCAACCCCACUAUUGCUUGUCACAGGUUGAAUGUAGAUACCAAUAAAAAGCCUGUAAAACAAAAAGCUCGCAAGCUAGCAGCUCAUCUCGCCAAUGCGGUUAACGCAGAGAUACAAAAGCUAAAAAAUGCAAAAUUCAUACGUGAGGUCGCAUAUCCUGACUGGCUCUCCAAUAUUGUCGCAGUCAUAAAACCUAAUGGUAAAAUCAGAGUAUGUAUCGACUUCACGGACCUCAACAAAGCUUGCCCAAAAGAUAGUUUCCCUUUGCCUCGAAUAGACAAGCUCGUUGACUCAACAGCAGGUCACGAACUAAUUUCUUUAAUGGAUGGUUAUUCAGGCUACAAUCAAAUAAAACUAGCAGACGAAGAUCAGGAGAAAACCGCGUUCAUCACUGAGCAAGGUACCUUUUGUUAUACAGUCAUGCCAUUUGGAUUAAGAAAUGCGGGAGCCACAUACCAACGACUCGCAACCAAAAUGUUCCAUGAUAUGAUUGGCAACACAAUGGAAGUCUAUGUUGAUGACAUGAUAGUUAAAAGCAAGCACAAAGCUACACAUGUCACCGACCUCGAACAAACAUUCCUCCGACUUAACGAGUACAACAUGAAGCUCAAUCCGGAAAAAUGUUUAUUCGGCGUAGCAUCUGGAAAAUUCUUGGGUUACCUCAUCACACAAAGGGGUAUCGAAGCAAACCCAGAAAAAAUCAAAGCUAUACUUGAGAUGCCGAGCCCAAAAACCAAGAGGCAAGUUCAAAAACUCAACGGCAUGAUAGCAGCCCUAAACAGGUUCAUAGCCCGGGCAUCAGACAAACAACGACCAUUACUUCAGCUACUAAAGAAAGGGUCAACUUAUAACUGGACAACGGAAUCCCAACAAGCAUUCGACGAGCUCAAGUUAUACUUGGCUACCCCACCAGUCAUCACCGUGCCACAAGAUGGCGACGUACUGGGACUUUACCUUGGCACAUCUGAACACGCAAUUAGUGGAGUAUUAUUCCGAGAUGAAAGAGGUAUAGAAAGACCAAUAUACUUCAUCAGUAAGACAUUGAUGUCUUCCGAAACUCGGUAUUCAAGUCUUGAGAAGGUAGGUUUAGCUUUACUAUUCGCCUCGCGAAAGUUGAAGCCGUAUUUCCAAUCACACAAGAUAAGGGUCCUCACAGAUGCACCACUUCGGCAAGUGCUGGAAAGCAGAAACAAAUCUACACGAAUGGCAAAAUGGGCCCAAGAGCUCGGAGACCACGAGCUCAUUUUCACUCCAAGAAGUAGCAGAAAAGGGCAAAUCGUAGCUGACCUCCUGGUGGAUUACGCCAUCGAUGACAACUCAUGGAUACCCGAUAAUGAGGUCAUCGACCAACCAAUAACAAAGCUUUCAAUAUGGAAACUCUAUGUCGAUGGCUCCAAAAACCUCAACGGUUCAGGGGUAGGGGCCACGCUAAUUUCACCAGAAGACGCAAUCAUAGAAAAGUCAGUCAGACUAAAUUUCACCACAAGCAACAACGAUGCAGAAUAUGAGGCACUCCUCACAGGCAUACAAAUGGCCAUAGCUUUACAGAUAAAGGAACUACGAAUACUAAGUGACUCACAAUUGGUAGUCAGCCAAAUUCUAGGCGACUACGAAACAAGGGAAAAGACUCUAAAGCUAUAUUUGGAACAUACCAAAAAAUUACUAAGUUAUUUCAACAAAUGGGAGAUUCAGCAUGUCCCACGGGAUGACAACCGUCAUGCCGAUAGCUUGGCAUAUCUAGCCUCGCAAAUCGACACUGAUUCACCACGGACGAUACAAAUUUACAUACAGUCAGCCCCGGCAUAUGAGGCACAGGUGCAUCAGGUAAAUGAGGUAUCAGACUUCAUAGAUAUUCCACCUACUGAAAUAGAAAAUUCCUGGAUGGGACCAAUCAUCAAUUACUUAAAGGGAAUAUACCCAGAUGAUGAUUUUGAAUUACGUAAACUCGAGCGAAAGGCUAAAAGCUAUAUUCUGCUCGACAAAAGACUCUACCGAAAGUCAACUCGAGGGCCAUAUUUGAGGUGUCUCCCACCAAAACAAGCACACACAAUUCUCGCUGAAAUCCACCAUGGGGAGUGCGGAAACCAUGCAGGGGCUAGGUCUUUAGCCCAAAAAGCAAGAAAUCAAGGUUAUUUUUGGCCAUACAUGCAGUCAGACGCAGACAAGUUUGUCCAACACUGUGACAAGUGCCAAAGAUUUGCUCCAUUAAUUCACCAGCCAGCACGGGACCUCAAGACAAUCUCAAGCCCUUGGCCUUUUGCAAUCUGGGGGCUCGAUAUUGUGGGUCCCAUAUUGAGAGAUAGAUCCAAGAAAAGAUUCUUACUCGUGGCAACAGACUACUUCACCAAAUGGGUCGAAGCAAUACCUCUACGACGAAUACGUCAACAAGAUGUCAAAAACUUCAUCUGGAAGUAUAUUAUCACCAGAUUUGGACUACCACACACUCUGGUCACCGAUAAUGGUCAACAAUUCUGUGGAACUUUAAUCGAGGAAUUCUACCUCGAUUGGAGAAUCAACCAUGCACUCUCGACACCUCGCUACGCUCAAAGCAACGGUCAGGCCGAAGCCACCAACAAGACCAUCAUGAAUAAUAUUAAGAAAAAACUUGAAGCACACAAAGAGAAGUGGAUAGAGGAACUCGAUAGAGUACUAUGGGCAUACAGAACGACACCGCGCACGUCUACAGGAAUGUCUCCAUUUGCCUUAUGUUAUGGCACGGAAGCUAUCAUACCAACUGAGCUAAACUUCCUAACUACUCGAUCUGAGCUCGUACAAUCCAAGGAAAACGAAGAUUUAUGGGCCCACGAGGUUGACAUGCUCGAGGAGAAAAGAGACCAAACCUUAAUCACCACUGCCCGUUACCAACAAGUCUUAAAAAGGAGCUACAACCAAAAAGUCCGAUCAAGGGAAUUCCAAAGUGGAGACCUCAUCCUCAGACAAGUUUUUUCAAAUACAAACAAAACCUGGGGACGGAAAGUUAAAUCCUAAUUGGGAAGGACCAUACAUUGUCAAAACCAAUUUAGGAAAUGGCGCAUACACACUCAUUGAUGCAGAAGGAGAACAGGUGCCUCGACCAUGGAACUCGAAAUUCUUAAAAAUCUAUCUACCUUGAUCAAUUUCAAGUACCGACAUCUCCAAUGCCCUCACAGCAAGAUUAGGUAAUAAAAUCACAUACAACGCAUACUACAAAGCAAGUUAUUUCGAGUUACAUUGAACGUCAAGUUGUAACAAGAACCAAAUAUAUUCAAUUCAACAUACAAACAUUUAGUCUAAAUAGUUGGAUUGCGAAAUAAAGCAGACGUAAGGCCAACCGAAGUCGGAAUUCCUUACUCAUGUUUUACAACAUCAAAAGAAAACCUCACAGCUCUCAGCAGAAUUGAAAAUACAACAAUAAGAUCAGGGCUGCUCAUCAGGAGCAUCUAGGGUCGCGGCGCCAGAAUUCUCGCCAGCUCGAGGAGAAGGUUCCUUUUCAGCCUCCACAGUAGAAACAGCACCCCCGGGGUUAUUCUCCUCUUCUGUUUCAAGACGAAAACGCUCAAGAGCGACAACUUUUAUGGCGUCCUUAUCAGCAAAAGCAUCAAAGUUUUCUACCAAUAACGCAAGUUGAGCCUCGCGACGUUGACACCUCUCCUCCAGGGCAUAAGAUAUUUGCCGCCAACCCGCAAUGCUCUUAACAGACUUCUGCGCAUCAGCUUCCCAGCUCGCAUUAACAUCUGCAAGCCGACCUUGAAGAGUCAUCACAAAACUUUGCGCCUCAUCCAGAUUGGCACCGUACUCGGCACACUCUUUCUGGGAAGCCUCGAGCUUACCCUUCAGACUCUGGUUCUCAGCUCGCAAUGCCUUGACUUCAGCAUUGGCUUUUUGCAGAGCUUCAGCCUUUUUCUUUGCAUUCUCGAGCUUGGUAAUCCACUUGUUAUGGAUCACAUUCAUCUGACAUACAGAAAGAGAAGAAUCAAAAAAAAAAAAAAAAAAAAAAAAAAAAAAACAAAAUACAUGAUAAGUAAAAAGGUAAACCAAAUCAUAACUGGGCAAGUGAAACUCACCCUAUAUGCGCAAGACGCGAAUUCUUGGGAAUCCUCCACAAGAGACUGAGGCUGAAUCUUCUUCGCGUCCUCAAAGAGAAAGCAAUUCUCCAUCAGCGAAAGACUCAUCUCCUUGUCAUCCCAAGCCGAGUCUUCAGCCCUCACAUAAGAAUCACGACAAGGAAAUACCGGCGAAAACCGAUUCACCUCACCUGCAGCGAAAUCCUCGCUCACGUCGACAGCCACUGGCUUAGUCGACUUGGAUGGAGGGGCUUGGGCUUUUCCCUUCCCCUUAUCCUGAGCAGGUCUAUCGACCUUAGAGGUGGUCACAACCUCAGAUGCCCUAGCUGGGGAUUUCCUCUUCUUAGACUGGGAAGCAGGUUCGAUUGACCUCGACCCAAAAAAGUCACUCAGAUUGGGUGCGUUUGGAACCUUACUCGCCAGAUGAGUAGAUCCACCGGUCAGGGGAAAUUCUGUAGACUUCUUUGGUGGGGCCAUGAUAGGCAAAGCAGCCACAGCCUCGACUGGCAAAUCCCCUGGUCGACCUGAAACCAACUCCGCAACUGGAAGAGCUAUAGCAAGCUCCCCUUUCUUCCUUCUCACUCUCUUUAGCGCAGGAGCACUCGAGGCACCGACUUCAACUUCGGUACCUUUGGUAAAUUUAACUCGGGGCUCACUAAAGAAACGGGCAAGAUGAGGUAACAGCUUCCUUUUCUCUGCCCAAGACUUCUCAGCAAAAUCAAUUAUAUUGCUUGGAUGCAAACGCCCGUCGAUAUGCUCGUUGUAAUCUUUGGUUUGACCUACAAAACGCACAAGGGAAGUCAGCAAAAAACUCAACUUUAUAAAUAUAAGACUAAGUUACAAGACAUACGUUCACCUAUGCUCGGAAUCGCAUAUCGACAUAGGAAAGCACUGGGCUGGACAAAUUGACCCCGAAUUCUAUACACAGGGGAGUUCUUCCACCCAUCAUUCGAAGUCGGAGGGUUGAACAGCUUUGCUCGGCCACAACCCCGUCUCCUAUUUAAAGAGCAAACGUAGUCCCCACUCCGACCGGUCACACACAUGAAGUAUGCAACGACAUCAGAUUUUACAAUAUCGGCCUUAUACAGCCUGUUCAAUUCUUCAAAAAUCAACAUUGAUGUCCAAAAACUGGUGGGCAUCAUAAUUGGAGCCACGUCGUAGUGAUUCAAAACAUCACAUACGAACUUGCUAAAUGGAAGACGCAUGCCCCCCCUCAGCUGGCCAAGACAGAUUAGGGUCGAGGUGGUAUCCCCACAUAAGUCGAACAACCUAUCAGAUACCCUAUACAUUUCAAGGUCGGGUAUGUUAAUAUUAAACUCAGCUCGAAUUUCAGGAAACGACCUUCGAGCCUCAUCCACACUAAGGACCCUACCACUAGUAGUCUCUUCAUCAAUUGCUUCAAUUCGACUACCACUUACACUAGCCUGAACAUCUUCAUCGUUCUCACUUAUACUUUCAGAUCCCCUAUCACUCAUUUUUCCGAUGGGUAUAUAACUAUAACUACGACAAGUCAACAGACAAACAAUCUCCGGCAAGAACAAAUAGCAAAUACAGACACAGAAAGCUUCAAAACUUCAACAAUGGCGGAGAUAUUCAAAAAACAACACCCAAACAACAGAAAUCUCCACAGACAAACAAAGAAAUCGAACAGAUACAAGAGAAAAUGGAAUAACUCAAACACCAAAUGAAAAAAAGGAGAUAACCAAGCAAAAUUGAUGAAGAACAGCAAUGGAGAUACAAAUGAGAAGAAAUGAAGGAGAAGAAUAAAAGAGAAGAGAGUAAGUUACCUUGCGAUGAGCAGAUGCAGCAGCUUUAAAUCCAAAGUUAAGGAAACCCUUGGUUUUCUAGCCAUGCGGUUAGGUUUUAUAAAACCCAACCACUCCAUCAUAACCGUUCAAGCUAACUCUAAUCAACGGCCAGAUAUGCCACAAGAAAUCCAACCGCUGAAACUUUUGGUUUCCCUCCCAUUUCCGUUACUUUCUCAAAAUCAAAAUUCAAAAUACAUUACACGUGGCUAAAAGAGCGCAUUACCCAACUACAGCAAUCAUUUCUCUCCUCUCGAAAAUACAAACUCAUUUACUGCCGCACGCAAUGGAAUCUUUGCUUGCAUCGUAAAUCGAGAGCAAACAGCCGACUAGACAGUGUUAUCUUCUACAUUUUUUAUUUCGACUUGAGUCCACAACGUCCGAAAACUUACUUCCUAGCCCCAACUCAAAAUAAAAAAGGGGCUAUGUGUAUACACAUCGUCGUGAACCCAUUUAUAUUCGACUCUACUCGACGUAACACCACUUUUACUCGAGCUCACUUCGUGACCACAAAUAUAAAUCCAAUCCGACCUUAACAUACCUUCAUUCGACAUGGACCUAUUUUUAUCCGACCUCACCCGACGUGAGACUACCACUAUUCGACCUACAUCGUCUUCGUUCAAAGAUUAUACGUUUCGAUUCUCUGCAGUUACAAUAUAUUUCCAGAUCCAAAAUAUCCGCUCAUUAAUUGACCAAGCCGUUGGGCAAUUAAUGAGCUAUCCGUUGUCCCAAUCACCUAUAUAUACGAACUACGUGGGCUUGAUUCUGGGACUUAGCCACUCUCAGAUACGUAGGCAACUAUCUAAAUCAGAUAGCUCAGCCAUUUCCACAACCUCAUCUCCUUCCCCUCUAAAAUUCCGAUCAUCUUCUCCGACUUGUUCCAAAAACCAAAUUCACUUACAUUUACAGACUUGUCACUUGUCAGUGUGUUGCAUGACUUAUUCACAGAAGUGCAAUUCACAUUUAAUUAAAACUUUAAAAAUCGACAACACCACUAGUUGCAACUACUAAUCAAAUAAUUCAACGCAAAUGGUAAGAGGAUUACAGAAGAUUGAACUUGCCAAAAUGUAAAUCGUAAAAGUAAAGAAAUGAAUGAUAAUGUUUUUUUAACUAAUAAUAAACAACCUCAAGCAUCUUGCAAAGUAUUGACCAUAUGCACGAACUGCUAAACACAGUGCAGAGUAGCUGGCACCUUUGAUUUCUAAGAUGGGGUGUGCGGUGAUAAUGUCUCCCGGAGCUUUCUUUCAUCUGAAAGUAGUUUGGCAAACCUAUAUACAAAUUGAAAUAUAUGUUAUGUACUAAUAAUCUACGAUCCAAGACAGUAACACAAUUUCGAGAUAUAUUUACCGUAUGAGAGCUUCCUCAUUGGUACCACCAUCUACCACAGGUUCUGAAACACCUGUGUCCAAGUUCAUCCUUGAAACUGGCUUCUUCAACAAGUUUUCACCAAUUUUUACAAGAUUAUCCAAGUUCUCAGUUGUGGCAAUAUCAGUUGAAGAUUCGGUUGUAUCCAAUGUCUCAUCCUAGAUUAGCAAAUUAGAUGUCAAUCGUUAGAAAUUUGAGGACUACAUUAAUUAAUAGUCUUAAACUAUCACGAAGUUAUAUAUAAUAUAUACAUUAAUGCUUUACCUUGAUUCGGAGAUAAUUAGCUUCAGACUUUAGAGCUUGAAAUACCACACAAAGGUGAUAAUCAACCAUAUCUGCACUUGAUUGAGUAAACAGUUCAACUAAUGGAGUUGAAUCACUCGCAGUUAACCAACCCAAAAGCCCCCACUUGGCUGCCAUAUCAGCAUUGUACUUCUCUUGGUUCUUUGCUGAGCCGGUUCCUAUCGAUAUAACAAGAUAUUUACCAUAGUCUAAUGGCCGAGUUGGCAAGAAAUCUGGAUUCUCAUUGUUAAUCUGCUUAGUCACUUCACUGAGGGCAACCAAUGUCUGUAAUCAGAUUUGAUUUAGUUAAUACUUGUUUCUCACACUAUUUAAUCAGUAUUAGUAGUAACAUAUAUGUUCUUAUGCGCUUUUAGUGAUUUUACCGGAUUAUUAGCUGUUACACCACCAUCCACAAGAUUGAACUCUCUAACAUUUCCUUCUGAAUCUGUGUUUUGGAAAUAGUGUGCAGGUAGGUAAGUUGGCGCUGCAGAGGUGGCUAUGCAGAUAUCUGAUAGUCGAACAUCCAGGACAGGAUUCAUCUUCAGCUGCAUUAGUGAAAUAUGAUAAUAUUACAAAGGUCUGUGUUUUCAUAUUGAGACAUCUAAAGUCUUACAACUUAGAAAAAUACCCUCUGGUUGGUAUGAAAAGUACACAAAUUUAAGAAAUAAAACAAUGAUUAGUGUAAUUUAGUUUCAAUUAAAAUUUAUCAUUUAAUCAGUAAUCUGACUUUGUAUUAAAAUAAUAUGUAGCGAUAUUAAUUUAAAGCAUGUUUGUUGUCAUCAUCAUAUUCUAUAAGCUUCUUAAAUUUACUAUAUUAUAACAAUCUAUAAUUUUAUCGCACUCAAACUCUUGACAAUACCACGUAGUAAUAAUUUACAUGAGUAGGAAAGCAGUAAAUUACAUGCAGGCAGAUAGGAAGGAUGAACUACUAGAUUUUCUUAAAAAAAAUCCCAACUACUGAUAGAAAAUUUUAGAUUAAGUAGAACCUGCUUAUUCAGGUUGUAUUUCAAAAUUCAAAUGAUAGAGAGGUUUAUAACUUAAGUAGGCAGAGAAAAAUAUGAAGAAUCAGCGAGCAUCAUCAAACCACGACUUGGUCUGAGUCUGAUGACACAUGGGAAAGUUGUAUCAAGAAAUGAGGGAUAUACAAGGAGAGGUCAAGAGUGAAGAGGAAUUGCUGCCAUUACUAUAUCAGCACUAUGCUGAUGCUGUCAGUGAGGGAUUUGAACUGUCAGAUGAGUAUAGGGAACUGUUCAGUUUAAGGAGUGCAGUCCUAUCAAAAGAACUCUGUUUCACAACAUUUCAGAAUUACCUGAGAAGUCUUGUAAGAAGAUCGAACAUGACCAUGAGAAGCAUCAUGGUCAAGAAGAUGUUGGAUUCCAAAGCUUAAUACAAUGGCUAAUUAUAAGAACAAAAUAUGUCCUCUCUGCUUUGAGCCUAUUCUCUUAAUAGACAUGUUUUUUGCCUAUGAAAGUCUCACAAGAAAUCAAAAGAUUCUCGAGCUUCAUAGGAAUCCCCUGUAUAGGUAACAUGUUUCUAAGCUUCAUAGGAAUCCCCUGUAUAGGUAACAUGUUUCUAUUAGCACUUUUUAAAUGUAUGACAGUGAGAGAGAGAGAGAAGAUGGUUGGUUGGAGUUGCUUAAUAUCAAAAGUAGUAAUAGCCACAUUCGUCAAACUCUGGCUCAACCUUGUCUGUAACACCCAUGAGUUGGUGUUAGUCCCACAUUGCCAAGGAAGUGGUUGUUUCGGUAGUAUAUAGAGCUUAACCAUAUUCUAACUAAUGUCAAGGCCUUUUGGGGUAAGCCACAUGGGUGGGCCCUGAUCCAAAACCCUCUACUGUUGGAUAUCCGUAGUGACUAAAGGGGGACAAUAUUGACAUUAGCGAGUGGUAUGGUGCUCGACGCACCCCACCGUGGAAAACAAACCACUGGAAAAUAUGGAAAAGAAUCAUGAAUUAGUUAUCCAAAUUUUCCUCAACAUUGGUAUGGUGCUCGACGCACCCCACCGUGGAAAGCAAACCACUGGAAAAUAUGGAAAAGAAUCAUGAAUUAGUUAUCCAAAUUUUCCUCAACAUUAAUAGACGACAUAGUGAUAGCGAGAAUCUUAUGUUAAGAGGCACUCCGGCCUUACCAUACAAAACAGCACAUAGUAGCACUAUCUUGUGGAAAUAUCUUUGGGCAGUUCUCAAGGUAGAAUGGAGUGAUAUCUUUGGCUGCAUAGCCGGGACGGUUGCUUUCGUUUGGUGCUGUUAACAUAGCUGUCACAAGCCCCCCUGUGCUUGUUCCUGCUACUACAUCGAAGUAAUCUGCAAGUCUUACAAUCUUCAAAGUCAAACAAGAUAUCUAAAUUAAUAUGUGUAGAGUUAGGCAUGCAAAUAUAGGAUCUAAAGAAUGACCACUCUUGUGAAACCGAGUGUUGCACAGAAAUGGAAGCAAAACUAUAAUUCUAAAGAUUAGGGUAGUCAGAAGUGAUCGCGCAAGAGGCUUUUCUGUCCUGGUAUAGGUGGCUCCAUUUCCAAAAUCUAUAUCAAACUAUGCAAUUCCGCAAAUACAUUUAAACUUGGAAGUUUUGAAUGACAGCAGAGAUCUUGUUGGUGGAACCAACUAAAUAAGAUGAAUACAUACUUUUAGCUUAAUCUUAACAACGAAAGCUUUGUUCCCAUUUACAGGUACCCAAGCUGUACAUAGGGCAGAACUAUAUUACAAUCUUGUUUGUCCUGAAAUCUACAAACAUCAUAGGGGAAGCACAUUGGUGCUUCUCUAGUUCGCUUUGAAGGAUAGCUCUUCAAAGGUCUCUGGCAAAACAUAAUACAUACACAUGCCUAUUCUUUCCCUACAUUUAGAUAUAGCAGGUUUGCAUGCAUGUGUGUGAAUAUAUACUUUUAGACUUGGAAGUUUUGAAUGACAGCAGAGAUCUUGUUGGUGGAACCAACUAAAUAAGAUGAAUACAUACUUUUAGCUUAAUCUUAACAACGAAAGCUUUGUUCCCAUUUACAGGUACCCAAGCUGUACAUAGGGCAGAACUAUAUUACAAUCUUGUUUGUCCUGAAAUCUACAAACAUCAUAAGGGAAGCACAUUGGUGCUUCUCUAGUUCGCUUUGAAGGAUAGCUCUUCAAAGGUCUCUGGCAAAACAUAAUACAUACACAUGCCUAUUCUUUCCCUACAUUUAGAUAUAGCAGGUUUGCAUGCAUGUGUGUGAAUAUAUACUUUUAGACUUGGAAGUUUUGAAUGACAGCAGAGAUCUUGUUGGUGGAACCAACUAAAUAAGAUGAAUACAUACUUUUAGCUUAAUCUUAACAACGAAAGCUUUGUUCCCAUUUACAGGUACCCAAGCUGUACAUAGGGCAGAACUAUAUUACAAUCUUGUUUGUCCUGAAAUCUACAAACAUCAUAGGGGAAGCACAUUGGUGCUUCUCUAGUUCGCUUUGAAGGAUAGCUCUUCAAAGGUCUCUGGCAAAACAUAAUACAUACACAUGCCUAUUCUUUCCCUACAUUUAGAUAUAGCAGGUUUGCAUGCAUGUGUGUGAAUAUACUGUACCUGGAGUUCUGAUUCUAAGAAGGCGAGAAUAGUUCCCGGAAUGAUUCCUCUUAUUCCACCUCCAUCAAUACUAAGAACUGUAACUAAUUUUCCAUAAAUUGGAGGUUGUAAAGCGAAGGAUGAAUAGUUUGUCUCCAUGAAUACACUACUGAUUCACUGACGAAGAAAUAUUAGAUAGGAAAGGAUCUUAACAAUAUAUUGUAAACAACAGAUGGAUUUCAGAAGCUCUUACUAUGCUAGUUAAUAUAAUGUGGAGGUAUUUAUAUAGCAUCUUGAAGCUUAGUAGGGAACUAUUUCAAGAAAAUUUACUUUGACUUGGAUAUUAUUUUCUGGUGCUUUACCAAUCUUGACAAUGAUUUUUGAUUUUCUUUUGCUUAUGUAAAGUAAGUCGAUUAUUAACUUUAGACGCAUUAUAGAAGCCAAACUACAAUAAACAUGCAAAUUUGCCUUUUCUCUCUUAUAUAUGCUUCUUAAUAUUAGAUUUACCUUUAGUUAAGUAUUUCCAAGUUGCCUACCUUUGUGUUUUAAUUAUCUACAUUCAAGUACAGUACUAACCUACCUAAAUUUGCAUAGAAUUAGUCUUCAAAGUGUUAAAUUUUAAAAACAGUUAAAUUUCCCACCAAAAGAUGUUAUAUUAUUUGAAGAAGUCUUUUUAGCUCUUAACCAAAAAUGGUAUUACACGACUGAGAGUUUGCGUGGUCAAUCAAACAGACCAUUGGUUUUUGGUUAAGAUGGCGACUUGGCGUACAAACUUAGUUUAGCCAAUGUUAAAUUCAUAUAUUGAAUGGAUAUUUGGAUUUAACAAAUUUUGGAUUAGUGCCAAACAUGAACUUCAAACUACAUAAGCAGAAUACUAUAUAGUCUAUAGAAUUGAAAUGUGACACAAGCUUGUUUUCUUUCUCUCUAUUGUUUACAACUUUGAAUAAAAUAUAGAACCGUGAUACGGUGGAGACCGACGUUAGGGGAAGAGAGAGGAAGAGAAAAGAGAAAAAACGAGAGAUUUCAAAAAACAGAAAAAAGACGACAGAAAAUUAAAAAGGAAAAAAAGGGGACAGACACGAGUUUGAGUUCCACCCGACUUUAAAUUGACCUCCUAACGUCGGUCGAUGAUAAGUAUAUGUAUUGUUGUUGGCACUAAUUAACUAAGUCAAUUAAACUGUUUUAGCUUGACAUUCUUUCAGUAUGUCAUAAACCUAUAGAAAUAUUUUGCACUUAAUUAAUUAAACUUAAUUAAAUCACACGAAGUAAUAGAAAACAACUUAGCCUUUUCAUGAUCAGCAGGAGUCACUGUUAUAUUUAAGUUUGUUUAUCAUCUUGAAGAUAUAGAAUUCCAAACUCUUUUCUCAGUGUACUGCACGAUUAGAGCUAGCUCUUCUUCCUUUGUUUUUUUUCCCAAAUUGAACUGCAGACUGCAGAGAUAAUCAUAUAUAGAAGUAAUAGAACUAUGCUAGUAAUGAUAAACAUUAAAAAAAAAUUGUUAAUAUUCAUGUCCCGAAGGGGAUAGGGCCCGAGGGCUUAUAAAGACAAUGCUCGUAGGCUAGAAAUACUACUGUUGCUGCCACUUAAUCAUCCACAUCACCACCUUGCUGCUCGAGCAAUACUGCUACACAGGGACUUGCUUUCGCUGAAGAACACCAGACGGCCACAUCAUGUCAUCGUGGGAGCAUGGGCCUCCUAAUCACGAACCAGACCCGAAGAAUUACAUAAGAAACUCCCCAAAGCACUCUUGAUUUUAUAUUGGGCCUCAGCUUAAUGGAUCCGAGGCCCAUAAUAAAUAUCCAAUUGAAACCUAUCAGAGAUAAUAAUCAAAAGAUUAGGGAAAGGAAUUGGGAGGGAAGAAGUGAAGAAGUAAUGUUGUUGUCAUCAUCAUCACCUUCCUUUGUUGGAGGAAGAAGAGAAGUGAGAGUCAAGAAAACACUCUCACUGUCACUCUCACUCUCUUCAUUCCACUAUCAUUCCAAUUUCAAGCUUGGAUUUAAUUGUCAUAAUUAUUUGUUCAACAAUCCACUUCUUGAAUUCCAACAAUCCCUAAAUUUAAACAACAACAAGAAAAUUAGUUUGAACAGAAAUGGUUGUUUUGUUUUCUGUUGUUCAGCUGAUGAUUCUGCGGAAAUUAUGGUGGCGCCGACGACGACAAGUGUAGCUCCAUUAGUUAAGAAGAGGAAAAGAUAUAGAAAGUUGUAUCCAGGUGAAAGUAAAGGAAUUGUUGAAGAAAUGAGAUUUGUUGCGAUGAAACUUCGGAAUGAUAAAACUAACAAGAAAAUUACUGAAGAAGAAGGAGGUGGAGGAGAAAGGGAAGAGAUUUGGCAACCUAGUAUUAAAGGUUUUCUUAAUUAUCUUGUUGAUAGCAAGCUUGUUUUUGAAACCCUUGAACGCAUUGUUGAUGAAUCUGAUGAUGUUAAUUGUGAGUUCUCUUUUCUUUCUUCUUCUUUUCAAAGUUUGGGUAUUUAAUGCAUUGAUGUGUGGCUUACUUAUACAUUUGCUUAGAUUUUUGUUCAUGAUUUGAAAUGUCUGAUAUCAGAGAUAAAUAUACAAAUUCAUCUGCACUUUUUAGAAAUUUUUUGGAUGCGUUUACACUUGUCUCUCAUUGUUAAUAAUGUUUUCCAAGUUCAAAUCAACAUGUGGGAGCUACUUAUUGAUUCCAUUCUAUAUAUAAAAUGAGAUGCCGUCUUUACUAAGUUUUGCACAUUUUGAAAACAUUGUCAUUAGAGUCCACCAUAUUGUUCAAAUUGCACGUACAUGAUACAUUUGAAAGUGAAUUUGGGAAUCCAGAUGUGUAAGGUCAUAUAUGUCGCCAAUCGUUUAGCUAGAUGUACGUCUUUACCUUUGGAGGAUGGACUAAAGUUGAACUCUCAGUCUCUAACCUCUAUCAAAUGUUAAUGUUAUUAUCUUUUGGUUUCUUUCCCCUUACAGAUGCUUACUUUAGAAAGACUGGUUUAGAACGAUCAGAAGUGCUCUCAAAAGAUAUAGAGUUGAUUAGCCAACAGGAUCUGGUGAUUCCACAACCAAGUUCUCCUGGUGUUUCCUAUGCAAGAUAUUUGGAGGAACUUGCAGAAAAGAGUGCUCCUAUGUUCCUUUGUCACUUCUAUAACAUAUAUUUUGCACACAUUUCUGGUGGUCAAGUGAUAGCGAAACAGGUAGAUGUCGGCAACUCAUAUUUGAUGGUUUUGAUGUUAUUUAUUGUUAAAUUGGCCAACUGUGAAUGAAAAGAUUAUCCUGCAUAUCCUGUUUGUAUUCAAUUCACUAAGCUUUUCGGUAUUUGAUUGAGAUUACUUACAAAAAUAUAUCUAUCUAUCCAAAUUACAACUUCUCAAAAUUCUGAUGGUCAUCAAACAUAAUUGACUUUGUACUAACACCCAAGGCUAACUUCCAAUCUCAAAGUAAGUAGCAACGACUUUCAUUUUCUUCUCAUGUGAUGCUUCAGAGGAUACAAAGCAGAAGAAAAUUCUAGGAAACGAGUCCCAGAAUCCUGAGAUCCCAAAGUUCUGGAAUCUUAAAUAUUUUUGUAAAGGAACCAAGAAUUCUGAAGAAUGCCCUUUUAUGUUACCUAGGUUAAAGGGCUUUCUCAUCCUUUAACUACUUUCUUUUAUUUGUCUGCCUUUGUGUUUCCUUUAAUUAUCGUUCAAUAUUUUCUGAAAGUUAUGUGUGGUGCACUACUCCUAUAAAACAUCAAAAAGCUUUCACCAUUAAGUUUUCUUUUCACCAUGCAUAUUGCUAGCUUAGAACUAUGUUCUACUGACUUCUCAGGUUUCGCCUGUGCCUUUAGCCCCUUACUCUUAGAGAGAAAAGUAAUUUGUGGUGUUAACUUUUGUUUAUAGUUUUCGCUCUGCUGCUUUCUUAGGUCGAUCCUAUUGUUGAUUGAUUAGUAAGAACCUCAACCCCACAGAUUAUGCAGGGACAAUUGAGUGUGAGGAGAUCUUCGACAAAUUAUUAUAGGUUUACAAGUUCCAUUGAACAAAUCACAUUGGUUUCUAUCCUAAAUAUUGUUUAGUCUUUAUUUCUGGUUAGGCAUUGAGUACCAAGAUGAGUACAAAGUGCUCGAUAAAAGAAGGGAACAGAAGAUAUGAAACCCACAUAUACUUUUAUUGUUGGUUUCUGGGUGUGCAGAUGAUCAUAGUUGAGACCUGAGUGUCAUGACUUGGUUUGGCCAAGACCAAUAUCUGGGGACCUUUCGUCCAGACAGUCUAUUCUGCAUCUUAUGCUACCUGGGCCCUUCCAAGCCAUUCUCUGUUGAAAUUGUCUACGAUGACUUACUAUAUUUUUUCUUGCUGAAUGCUUAGUUCAUAACAGUUUUAAUGCACUAUAAAUAAUCACAUUGGUUUCCAUCCUAAAUAUUGUUUUGUCUUUAUGUCUGGUUAGGCAUUGAGUACCAAGAUGAGUACAAAGUGCUUGAUAAAAGAAGGGAACAGAAGAUAUGAAACCAACAUAACUUCUAUCGUUGGUUUCUGGUUAUGCAGAUGAUCAUAGUUGAGACUUGAGUGUCAUGAUUUUGUUUGGCCAAGACCAAUAUCUGGGGAACUUUUGUCCACCUUAUCUAUUCUGCAUCUUAUGCUACCUGGGCCCUUCCAAGUCAUUUUCUAUAGAAAUUUUUUCGUUGACUUACUAUUUUUUUUUUUUUUGCUGAAUGCUUAGUUCAUAAUAGUUUUAAUGCACUAUAAAUAAGGAGCAUUAUUUGAUUAUAUAUUUUUGUAGCUUGCAAGUUCAUAGGUUAUAUGGGUCAAUCGAGUCGAAAAAUAUUUGCUUAGGCAGAAUUGCACUGGGUGUCCUAGGAUGCCUUAUUUACACCAAAUUUUGUUAUCUUAAGUCAGCUCUUCUUCUUGGAUUUGAAUAGGUUUCAGAGAAGCUUUUGGAAGGGAGAGAGCUGGAGUUCUGCAGAUGGGAGGGUGAUGAAUUAGAGCUGCUUAAAGAUGUGAGAGAUAAACUGAACCAGCUUGGUGAGGUAAUUGUAUGGACAAUCUCAUGUAUUUUGUCUUGCUCACAUCUCUUUGGUUGAGACAUCUUUAAAGUUCUUUAUGUUGUUGUUCUUUUAUAUAUGCAGCACUGGUCACGAGAUGAGAAGAAUAAAUGUUUAAGAGAAGCAACCAAGUCUUUCCGGUUUUUGGGUCACAUAGUCCGCUUGAUAAUUUUGUAGUACAACAUUGUUACAAACUGCCAGCUGACAGGUUUGGGUCUCGCUAUCUAGGAGGAUUUUUCAUCAUUGUUCACUUAUAAGAUUCAAACAAAGAAAUUUAAGAACUCCCCUCAAUCAUGCUCACCCUUGUUACAAACUGCCCGUUUGCAUGACUUUUAUUACUUGCAGAGCAUUGUUUUUCUCUUAGUCUGGGUGUGAUUAGCAUAGGAAAAAAGUACAGUUUAUUUUGUUGUCGGGGUGAGCAAUUGGAAUUUAUCUGAUCUGAACAAAAUUAGUCGACAAAGCUAUUUAAAAACAGAUAUAGCAAUGGGGAAGCAUGAAACUUUCCUGCACUACCAACUAUAUAAAAGAAUAGAGAAUCCUGACUUCAUCAAACAUUGUCAUGGGUGCCUAGAUGGGGUAUCUUUAAAACUUGUUGAAGGUAUGGUCCACUCAGAAUGGCAGAAUUUACUUAUAUGCAAACAAAAGGAAUACCACACUUUCAGUGGGUUACAAUCAAUAUGUUUGAUUAGUCCUGCUAAAAGGAAGUGCAUUUGAUCAUGAAUGCUAACCACUUGUCGAAAGCUAGAUAUCAUAACCAUUGAAAAGAAAAGUUAGUGACUUCACAAGCUUAUGACAGUAGCAUCUAUGAUGCCAAAAUUUCAAUUAUACCUAAGAAGAAUUAUCUUUGGACUAUUGGAUCAAUAUAGAUAAUCUAUCUUAUUAGGUUUGUUGUGAAGAUAACACUUUCUGGAAAAAAAUAAAAUAAAAUAAAAUUUUGAAUUGGUAUUUAGCAGAGGGAAAAUAGCAUGAUAAUAUCAUUAUUCAAGACAUAAUUAAUCCUGAGAUAAUGGUGAGUUGGUGGCCAACCUAGACUUGGUUGCUUCUUAUCUAUCAAAUGAGUAGCUAGUUCACAGUUCCCACAUCAUUUUGAAUCCUUUUGGUCUUGUUAGAUAAAAAUAUGAAAAAUGCCUUUCAGUUAGGAUUAGACAGAUAACCAAAAAAAAAAAAAAAAAGGUUAGGAUUAGACUUCUUCUUUAGUGUGCCUACUAUAUACUAAUAUACUAUCAGGACCACAUAUGAUAAUUGGCCAGUAGAAUAUCAAAGACUACUAGUAGCAGACGGUCCAUAUCACUGGUAUCGAACAUUAAUCCGACUGAGGAUUAUCAAUUAUACCAUGCAAGAUUUCUGUUAUUUCACCCUCACUCGACAUUGUAUUUCAAGGGAACAUAUUCACUCCCAUGCACAAUGGGAAAGCUUUGAGGCAGUGUCUUGGUUUGAGAAGAUUAUGCAGCUAUGGGAAACAACUUGAUUACAUAAGAAAUGGAUCUCUCAAAGAGUUGAACUGCAUUUUUGUUCCUGACUUCACGCACUCUGCAUCUCUGUUGUAUGAAAUAGAGAAAAUUCAGCUGAGAGACCAAUUGACCAUUUCAAUAUGUACUAUGUAGUUAGUUAUUAAACAAAGUCAAUAGUUCCGAGUUCAGCCACUAGAAAUCCCAUCAUUUCUUCCUCUUUAGAAAAUGGUUACUACUACAAGUUGAAAUGUAAUACACAAUUCUAAAACUAAAACAAAAUUUGUUACUAAUAUAAGUUGGUUUCCCUAGAAUCAAUAAAACAUGACCCUAGUCCCCAACACACAAAGGUGAAAUUGUUUGAUGAAAUGCCGCAAUGAGUUUGUUUUACAAGGAGUAGUUUUUGUCGUUGGUGACAGAUGAAAAAGUCAGAAACAAAUCACGCGGGACUGCUUGUUUUAUUGCCUAAGAAAUGUCAAUACUCAAUACUAUUACUAAUGUGUGUAUUGUAUGACAUACACAUCUGACAUACACACACACACACACGUAAAUAUUGAGCAAGUAAUAACUCAAUAAUAUAAUAAAUUUAAAACACAAUUACUCACUUAUCUUCUUCAUCAAUUCAUCGUAAUCAAUUUUAUUAUUAUUAUUAUUAUUAGUAUUAGUAUUAAAUAAAGUAUUAAAAGCAGAAAAGAUAGAAAGUGAAUCCUUAAAUUAAUUUAGAUUUAUUAUUAUUUUUUUUUUAAAAAACACUUAUUUCAUCUGUAGUCUGUAGAUAUAGUAUUUGAUUUCAUUAAAAUUUAAUAGAGAGAGAGAGAGAGAGAGAGAGAGAGCUUCAGAGAGUGCUCUGCCUCUUGCCCUCUUCUGCUUGCCUCAUCAAGUGAUCAGUGUUGCGUUUCAUCACAUUAGUCAUCAGUGUACGAAAAACACAAAAAGAAAUACAGAAAAGGGGUAAGAAAGAAGCUUGGUUGGAAUGAUGUUGUUCUUCAAGAAAUCGUCUUCAAACAUUCAUUUUUUAGCUACCCAUUAAUACAAUUCAUUCAUGGCUGAAGAUCUCUGCUUUCUUAACAAGGUUCUCUUUCUUCUUCCUUCCUUCUUUUUCUUACAAAUAAAGUUCUAAACUUGAUAACUUUCUCUCAAAAUUUCUUCUUUUUGUUGAUUAUCUUGGAUAGAUUCGAUAUAAAUUUUUGAUAUUUCAUGAAUUUCUUUCAUUAAGUGAUUAUGGAUUUUAGAUUUUCAUCUGAUUCUUUUUACAUUUGCAUUACUUUGGUUUUGAAAUUUCAUAGCUCAAACCUUUCCCUUUUUAAAUAUCUGAACAGGAACAAACCCCACAUUCCCCCCUUCUCUUUCCUCAAACCCCACAUCUUUUUUUGCUUAAUUUUGUUUAAUGUAGUCGUUAAUUUGUCGUUUUACAGCUUGCAUUCAUCACCACAACCUUUCAAACCUUCUUUUCUCUCCAUUUUUAUAAUCUUUUCUUUGCAACUUUUGUUAUCAUUUUAGUACAUUUAUAUAUAACAUUGUGUUAUAUGUUGUGGAGUCUGAUCUGGUUCUGUAAAACUGCGCAUCAUGCUUGGGUAUACCUUGUUUAGAUAUGAAAGAACCUAUAACUCUCGCCUGUCCCCUUUCAACCUUUCACCCCCUUUUGAUCUCAUAUGUUGGAAGGACCUUGAUAGGUUGCUUAAAUCACCUCGUCGCACUAGCCCAUAUAUGGUUUAGUAGGUUUUUAUAGGUCACUUUGAUCUGACAUUCUUCCAUUCUCAUUUCAUCAUAAGGUGAUUAAUGUUAUUGAUAAUCUGUGUAAUAUUUGAAUCACAGGAUUGCUUCGCCUUAAAGUCGCCUAAGAAGUCUCCAAUAGUAUUGCGGACAGUCGUCUUAGUAUUCUCCAUGCUAUGUGGUGUUUAUAUAUUUUCCAUCUGUUUAAAGCAAAUCAGUGCCUAUAGAAAGCCCAACAAGUUCGUAGAUGUCCAAGUACUUGGUCAGCCUUGUCAUGCUUCUGGUAUCGAACAGUGGGAAAUCCCCUAUGUGCAUUUCCCCAAACCCCAUACGUAUAGCAGGUAAAUUGAUCAAAGGGGCCAUUAAUUCCAUUGUUAGUGUUUUUUUCGUAUUUGAAUUUUGUCUGCAUUUUAAUUUACUUGAAUUAUGUGUGGAUGUUUUAAUAGGAAUGAAUGUGCGUGCAAUCCUGUCAGAUUCUUUGCAAUCCUAUCAAUGCAGAGAUCGGGGAGUGGAUGGUUUGAGACACUGUUAAACAGUCAUAUCAAUGUAAGCUCAAAUGGAGAGAUCUUCUCUGUUAAAGAUAGGAGGAGUAAUAUUUCGACAAUCACAAGCACUUUGGAUAAAGUUUAUAACCUUGAUUGGUUGAAUAGUGCUUCCAAGAAUGAAUGUUCGGCUGCCGUUGGUUUCAAAUGGAUGCUCAAUCAGGUACAAUGUUCUCAAUUUUGUUUUUCUCUUCAGGCGUGAAUGGUAUGAAAUUCAUUAUGUACCUUGAGUUAGUUUUGUUUAUGUAAAAGAUGUAGCCUUCCUCUUCAUCAACUGACCAUUUUUUACCUAUCAUAAUCGCAAUUUCUCGAUCUUCUGUUAGCAAUGUUCUUUCUUUUCAUCUCUGUCUUCCUAUCAAAAUUUACUUUUGAGUCUAAAUGAAGAAACAAUUUUGAUCUGUUAAUAAAAUUCUACUCUUAUCCAGUAUUGCAUAAGAAAUGAUGAAGUUUAGUCAAAGUUUGGACUUUGUUAUUUAAAUGGAGAAAAUAAAGGUAAACUGUCAUUAACCUAUAUAUCUCAUGAUAGCCACUAACAUUUUUGCAGGCAAGGAGAACGAUUAAAAUCUAUUUAAUUGUCCAUGUCUCAAUGUCAAGGAGUGGAGUCACAGAGUGACUAGUCAAGAAUACUUGUCUACCACCAUAAUUCACAUAUACAACCAUUUUUUGUUCUCUUGUCAUCGGGAAAAACCUUCUGUUCUCAAUCAGUGAAAAGAAAGAAACAAAAUUGUAAGCUCUUGUGAACAGCGCUCUUUUCUUCACAUCUGUGUCACACACUCACACUGUCAGCUAGGAAAAUGAACUUACAUUCAAAUGAGGAUCUGGGUCUGUGAACAGAACACACAGUUUUCUUUAUUAAAAUACUCUUGUUGUGGGAAUACUAUAAUUAGACAAAGAUAAAUCAUGGAUGGUCUGUUAUCUCAAUUUAAGGUGUUAUAACUAACACAAUUGUUGGCUCCACUUAGCUCGGUCAUCCUUUUCCCCACCUCAAAGCAAUGAUUCAUUCCCUUGCAACAUGCAAGGUACUAACAUAACCUUUAUGUUCUGCAAUCACAAUAUCAUAGUUCUCCAGUAUACCAUGUCAACCCUCUAACCCUAAGAGAGAACAACCAAUUGUCCUCAGAUUACGUUUGGUGAAAAGUUAUUGGUACUCGCUAUCUUGAGUAAGGCAUUGUGGGAUUGGAUUGAUAUAUAAUUCUUCAAAGUAGGACUCCCAACAGCCUAAACAGAGAACUGCCUAUCUCUUUGUAUCUCAUCCCUUCCACGGUUCCACCUGUAAAAUGGGCAUGAAUCCUCAAGCACUACAGAAGAAGCAACAAUCUACCUCAGCCAUCCCAUGAUGCUUAUCUAUAAAGUAAUGUUGGAAAUAACUUCUACAUGUGGACAGAUUUGGUCACUUUAGGAUGACAAUCCUGAAAAGUUCGUGUGCACUGAAAACAUGCUAUAACCUACUUUGUUGGUGUCCUUGGUAUGCUAUAGUGGUAAUUAUUGAUAUAAUCAUAUAAACCUUUUGAUCAUAUGAGAGGGCAGAUUGUUAGAAAAUUGUGUUAUUUUUUAUAGGUUACAUUAGGCACUAAAAUUUAAAACGCAAUACUGCCUGUUGAUGCUUUGUGCAUCAUCAUUGGAUUCAUUGGAAUGAUUUUACGGUAAACUUGACAAGAGGUAAUUGAUAGUUACAUUUUCUUUAUUUUAUGAAAAUUCUUCUUAUGAAUGAAUAUUCUAGGGCAGACUCAUGCUUGUUUUGCUGUAGUCCUUCUUGGCUCUAAUAUCAUAUAUGCUAUUGGAUUAUAAAUGGGAAUUUAUUAUUUCCCAUUUUUUACCCUCUUUAUAAAUGGAAGUACUUUCAUACAGCUUAUGCUAAUAUAUGUUCAUGAUUAAUAUAUGAUAUAUUGUCAUGGAAAAUGCAGGGUUUGAUGGAUCAUCACGAUGAGAUAGUGGAGUACUUUAAUCGGAGGGGUGUCUUUACUAUAUUUCUGUUCCGAAGAAAUUUACUGCGCAGAAUGAUUUCAGUCCUUGCUAAUACUUAUGAUCGAGAUGCUAAGCUAUUAAAUGGUACCCACAAGUCACAUGUGCAUUCACCAGAUGAGGUACUUCGUCUUUCUUGUGCUUCCCCAAUCUUUAUACAUGCUUAUGCUCGAAAACAUAACAAAGACACGUACAAAUUAAAAACCUUGAUCACUGACGUGCAGGCUGAGAUACUUGCGAGAUACAAACCUACAAUUAAUUCUACAUUGUUGAUACCUAACCUGAAGCAUGAAGAAGCCAAAAUAGCUAAAGCAUUAGAGUACUUCAAGACCACCCGUCACAUUGUUCUUUACUAUGAAGAUCUUGUUAACAACCGCACUGUAAGUUGUCUGCUAUUUUACUGGCCCUUAAUCAGUCAUUAAAAGAAAGAGGUCACUUUCAUAUGGUGCACAGUGCUUAAUGUUCGUCUUGUUUGCAGAAACUGAUGGAUGUCCAAGAGUUUUUGAGGUUACCACAAAGGGACCUGAAGAGCCGACAGGUCAAGAUCCACAAGGCACCAAUAUCAGAUCAAAUAGAGAACUGGAAUGAUGUCAAUAGCACAUUAAAGGGAACACAAUAUGAAAGCUUCCUUCAAUAGGACUAGCAAAUUAACUCCCUGCAGUUGGAAAGAUGUACAUAACACCUUCAACUCAAUUUUGUCUUUCUGAGAGUUAGGGUUGAAAUUUUGGUUGGCUGCAGGGCAGGCACAAUACCUUUGUUCUUUUUUUAUUUUUUUUAUUUUUUCUUUGUUUUUUGGGUGUUUCUCAUGAUUGACACUUGUAUAUCCUAAGUUAAUGUAUCAUCGGUCGAGAUCAGGAUCCCAAGCUUUCAGUUAAGUUUCUGCAGUGUUCAUAUGAUAUAUAUUCAUUUUUUUUCAUUGCAUAUUCUGAACUAAUACAUCUUUUUCUGGGAAGGCUGAGUAUUGCUCAUAAAGCAACUGUCCUACCGUAAAAGUUUAAAAUGCGGAUUUAUGUUUUUCAUGUUCAGAGCUAUCAGCUAUGAAUAUGGAAUUAUAAAUGAAUGCAAAACGCUGAAACUAAAUCAUACAAAAACUGAGGGGAUUGCAUUAUGACAUUAUGCGCGACACUGCCAAGAAGUACAAGUUUAUUUCUUGAAUAAGAAAACAAGAACAGGAGCCAAUGGCCUAUUAACCAUUUCAAACUUAGAACAAACCCAACUCUCAACAGGUAAUCCAGAAGCAAAAGCUAGUACUGUUUCAUACUCUUCCUUUCCACCAGAAUGCCCAACAUAAACCAAUACACUUAUAAGCCCUCCACUUCCCACAAUUCUACUUGCAGCUUGCAAUGCUUCCAAAGUCCUUUCUGGAACAGUAAUUAUAGACUUAUCACCUCCAGGAAGAUAACCUAAGUUAAAACAAACAAGUUUAACAAAACUCCCCUUUUCAACAAUAUCUUCCAUUCUACUGUGACAAAGUAAAAACAACUCAACAAUCUCUUUCAUCUUCUUGUUUUCAUCUGCAUUAGGGUAUGAUGCAUUCAGUAAUGAAGUUGUGUUUUCUAUAGCAGAUUUCUGAAUGUCGAGACCAUAAACACUACCACCACCCUUACCAUUACCAAAAACCAUUUUGAUAAGUGCUAAGGUGUCAUGACCAUUACCACAUGUAGCAUCUAUAACUAUAUCUCCUUUUUGGACUAUUUGUUGCCAAACUGAAUGAGCUACUUGUAUUGCUUUCUUUUCUCCUUUUAUAAAAUCUAAUAAAGAGAAUGAAGAUUUUGUUUGUUGGUGAUGAAAUGAUUUCAUGGUUAUUUUUUGGGAAGAUGGGAAGCAAGUUGUUGUUGGUGUGGUAUUUGUAAAUGGGUUGAAGUUCCUGCGAGAGAGAAAAACAAGUGGGGUUUGCUUGUUAAGUAGGGAAAAUCACAACAUUUUGUAGAUUAAUUGGUACUCAAUUGCAAUGGGGUGAAGAGAGAGAGAGAGCAAAGAAAAGAGAAACCAGAGCAAAGGCAGAAUGGGUAAAAUAAAACGGACUCAAACCGGCCCGACCCAAUUGCAAUGGGGUUGGCUCGCAGCUCGCGCUCUCAGAGAUACCUAUAUUUCAGAUUGAAUCUGACUUGGCUUUUGUGGUUAAGGACUUAAGGUUGUGCAAAAGUCCUCUGCUGCUUGGUAUCGGUAAAUAACCUGCAGACUUUUCUGUCAAGGGUGUAAUGUAUGUUUUCAGCAUGUUUUAUGGCAGAGUAAACAACCUGCAGACUUGUUAGCCAAAAAGGCAUUAUCAGGAUCUUUGUACUAAUAGCUGGUUUUUAACUUCUGACACUGAGUUAGGAUAUCUUGUGUAUCUUAAAUUCUUAAUAACCUUUCUAGUGUUUAUACUUAGAUAUGGUUGAUAUUAUAGUGAUAUACUACUAGAACAGACAUCUGCUGCAAUCCAGUUGUAUUAGGCCAAUAGAUAACUUAGUUCAGAUGAUCAAACUAGUUUUGAAAUUCGAUGACAUAUGAUUGCAUUAACACACUUCUGAAUUACUCCACAUCUGCACAUAAGUUAUAAGCUAAAAUAUGAAUUACUCCAUCUCAAAGAUUCAAACAAAGAUCUGAGUUGACUGAAACCAAAAGGCACAGGGGUAUGUAAGGUUAUUUUGCUUCAAAUAAACACACACCUAUGAAAACUAUUUGGCAUUGACUCAAUUCUUGUCCUGCAAAUCUGAUAAUAAUUCAUAAAAAUUGAAGCAAGAAGAUAUACAAAUUAUUGUGCACUCGAACAUAAAGCAUAUGCUUGCACCGCAUACUGGUAUUAUUUGUUUCUGCUACCUACCUCCAUGAAUGAAAAAAAAACUGUUUUUGUUUUCUUUCUAGGGUCACAGAAAACAAAAAUAGAACUAUAAUUUUCAUUCACACCACAAAACAAAAUUCCAAAACAUACCAAGAAGAUUCAUAUUGCCAAAUUUUAUAAACAUAAUGCAUAGUUUAGAUCUAAAACAAAAAGAAAAAAGUAGAUAAAUAGAUAGAUUUAUAAGUUUGCUUAUGGAUCCUUAGAAGAGGCAUCAUCAUCAUCAUCUAUUGACCAAGAAGUAGUAGCUUCACAAGGAACAUGAAAUUCUCUGUCUAAAAAAUGUUGACAAUUUUCUUUCAUCAGUGCAUGUGCAUCAAUCUGAGCCUGCUGGGAUUCUGCUUCUUCGUUCUCAGCGAUUUCCUUCUUUAAUUUACUGAGAUAUGGCUCACGUUCUUUGUUUCUCCGUCGCAGACGUCCAGGUAUACCUCGACUCACACAAUCAAAGCCAUAUCUGUCAAGCCGAUAGAAAUUUCAUUGUUGCUGAAAGGGUCCCAUUUCUUCUUUCUCUACUUUAAGCAGUGGUGCAAAAAAACCAUAAUUAAGGAGUCGAUCAUGACCUACACCUACACCUACACAAGAGGAGGAGGAGGAGGAGGAAGAAGAAGAGACGACGAAGAUUCUUCGAGCAGCUGAUGAUCUCAUUGCAGAAAACAUGGUUUGUUUUUGUUGUAUUAGGGUUUCAAAGUUAGGGUUUCAAAGUGCAGAACAAGAACAGAGGAAACAUGCAGAAGCUGAGAGAGAAAGCCAGAAAACCACAGCAAAAGGGUAGAAAAAAUAAACUAAAACGGACCCAAACUGAACCGAGCCAUACUGGUCACUAGGUUUUUUUUUUUCAUUCUUUAUCCAGGUUUGCACAGCAUUUUGGUGUCAAUAGACUGAUAAAGUGGGUUGCAUUGUCGUGGAUACUGUAGGGGUCAAACAAUGCAUAUAUUUUACUGUAGGGGUCAAACAAUGCAUAUACUUCUCAAUUCUUUCGACAGGGAUAUUGGUGCAGUUUCCCAUGCAAUUUGAUUGAAAAUAUUUCAGAACUUGAGCAAAGCAUGAAAAGGUAAUGCAUAGAAGAAAAUUAACUCAAGACGCUAUACAAUCAGAUGAGACAACUCUAUUUUGUGUUAUGGAUAGCAUUAUAACAUUUUAUUCAUACAUUGGUAAUCCAAAAGAAAAAAAAUAAACAUAAAAGUAAAUACAUUAAAAAGAACCUCAUACACUCAUCAGAAAACCAUUUUAGGAUCAUUCAGGUUGUAACCUUGACUGAAAAAUUGGAUUUUCCUAUGUCACUGGCCAGUCGUCUACAGCUUUUUAAAGUAUACUCCAUUACCCUCAACUGUUAACUGACAUGCAGUGGACAGACUGGAAAUUUCCAAAGGCCUCGCUCAUUCAUGGCCAUGAGAUUUGCGGCUCCUUUUUUCCUCGAUACCAGACUGAGAGAAUCUCUGUCGAAGGACUUGAAAGACAUCUUCUAAUUUCACAUCUUUAUUUUUCAGUAGGACCAUGCUAUGGAAUAAUAAAUCUGCCGCCUCAGCAGCUGUACGGGAUUGGUCCUCGUUCUCCUCCAAUGUUCGACAUAACUCGUCUGCCUCUUCUCUGUAAAGUUAUAGAACAGACAAAAAAACCAUAAGGAUUCAAGUGAGUCUUUGUCGGAGGGUUUUAUACGCGUACGAAUUAAAGAAACCAGUAAAGAAGACAGAUAAUCCCUACCAUAUGAGUAGAUUUAGACCAAGUUAUUAUGAGUACAUUGUAUUUUGUAGUGUGGUACUCUCCUCACCAUGGAAAUGAGUAACAGCUACUGUGCAUGUGGGCAUGUUCAAGACUCAAGCAUUUCAUUAGAGCAAUUUUCUAUACAGUAACAUAACAUUUAUAACUCAAUGAUGCAAGCAAAUUUUACUUCCUCAACAUAUGGUAAUUUUGUUCAAACUUUUCCAUUUCAAACUUUUGUAGCAAACCCUUACAAACACGUAUAGACCCUACCCAACAACUGAUAUUUAUAGUGCGAAAUUUGACCAAUUACUUGACUGUUUUUUUCCAACAUUGAUCAAAUAAAUCUCAAAUAAUUCCUUACCAAAUUUUUACUGUAUUCCAAAUUGCAAACAAGGGUUCAGUCUGCCAAUUCUUAAAAUCAUAAACAAAAUAUAAAGCAGGAUCCUUAGAUCUAUUUAUAUCCAAAUAUCUAGUAGAAGGAAUAUUGAACAUUUUAGUCUCCUAAAAAGGAAAAUCCCAGUCGAAGAUAUUGAUAUUGUUAAUGAAACAGUGCCACUUUACUGACAGCACAGCCUUGUGAACUAUGAAGGUAGAAGUACCGUAGAACUUGUAUGAACUCAACUAAUAUUUGCUGCAUUUUUACUGUAACUAACAAACUAAACAAAUACUAUUUAAACAAUUGGGUACCGGAUUUUUGAGCACAGCAACUUCUGGUCAAGCAAUAGCUUCUUUGUCCACGACGGUUUUCCAUUUUCAAUUGCUCCAAUUUCAGCUUUACGUUGAGAUAUUGUUGACUCUAAUUCGUAUAAAGUUGUCAAUGCCAACCUCUUUCCAUCUACCUGCCAUCAAUACACAAUGAAGUUAAAAUAAGCAUCAACAAUAUUUUCCCUCAGGUGAAAUUGACUCAUAUAAUGGAAAAACAUUAGUGGAUCUUCAGAUUUUUUCAACCUCGGGAUGUUUAAGAAGAUCAUCGACUGAAGAAUAGUAGCAAGUUUCUUCCCCUGUGUGGCAAGUGGGUCCAUCAGGCUUGCCGAGGUAUAUUAUCUGACACACAAAAAUACCACUAUUAAAAAAACAAGCUGAAGUAAGCCUAAGUUCUAAUGAAAAUGUCAGAGAUACAUACAGAAUCACGAUCGCAAUCAAGAAAAAUGUCGGUGACAUUUAUAAAAUUACUGGACGUCUCCCCCUUUGUCCACAAUGAUGAUCGCGAGCGACUAUAAAAUGUUGCUUUACGAGAUGAAAUGGUGGCAGCAAGUGCCUCUCUGUUUGCAAAGGCUUGCAUCAGGAUGGCUCCCGUGUCUACAUGUUGAGCAAUUGCAACUGUCAAACCUUUGUCAUCCCAUUUGACGCUAUUCAACAAUGUUUCCACCUAGAAUUAUAGCCCCACAAGAGAAAUAGACCACCUCAUAUAACAAACUGAAAAGAAAAUGCCAAUGAAAUAAGGACUAACCGUUAUAGUAGUACCUAAUCUUAUAAAUGGUCUAAACAUGCCAAAGUUUAAUGCAGUUACACAUGCUAAGUGUCUACAUUACCAGAAUUUACGUAUAUAACUCUUUAAGAAAAUUAAUUAAGAAAAAGAUAAAAUUCAAUCGUGAAAGGUAGUUUGGCAUCCCUCAUGUUUUCCAUCAAUGACAAAAAUGUAAAGAUAUAAUAUCCAGCUAUAGCUUGAAUGAUCACAAAGUAAAAAGAUCAUCAUGUAAUACUGGAAACCAAAAAGAGACAUCCAACAUUUGAAUGAAAACUCAUCCAUCAAUUUUCUUUCCCUUUUCUUACUUUCCCAGACAUGUAAAGGUCCCCAUUAUUUGGCAGACAAAAUCUACAACAGAGACCUGGACUAUGUCUGGUUUCUCAAUAAAAAAUUGGUUGUUUCUAAUUCUAAUCUAUGCGUACUAAUAAAUUGGGAUAUUGCACAUGGACACUACAAUUACUGCAAGCAAUUCAGAUCAAAAUGUAUUAAAACUAUUCUUCAAUUGUAUAAAACAAAUGUCGCGCAAAGGCAAAUUUCAUUCAUCAAAAGGGAUACAACUACAAGAUGUAGAUAAUCAAGCGCAACGUUGGAAACCAUCAAAAAGAAAUCCAACAUAGGAAUGAAAAUCAUUUCUAUUCCAGACAUGUAAAGGUUCCUAUUAUUUUGUAGACAAGUCUACAAUAGAUACCUGGACUAUGUCUGGUUUCUUAUAAAAAUCGAAAAAAAUGGCGAAAAAAAAAAAUCUUAGUUCAAACAACAAAUGAAGAGAGAGAAAGAAGUGUACCUUUUGUGAAUCAACAAUGGGAAUUACUGAAGCUUUGACAACAAGUCCUUUAAACUUAUUUUGGCUAAAGAAUCUAAUCGAAGGUGAUGGUAAUGGUGAAGAAAGGUUGAUGAACUUAAGAGAUGAUUGAAAACUACUUCGAUUUGAACCAAUUGAUGAUGAUAAUGAUGAAAAACCAUUAAAUUGUAGAAUUGACAUGGUUAUUGUUGUGAAGAAUUCACAAUUGAGAAAAUCAGAAAACCUCACUCUUUUUUUUUUUUUUUAGGGUUUCAGUAUCAAAUUAGACUGUCAAGUGUAAACAAAAAUAGAACUGAGCUGGGUUUGUUAGUUGGGUUGGGCUAAUUUCAUUUGAAAUGAUUUCCGUAGUUUGUGGGAUCAAGCUAUUAGAAUCGGUCCAUACAAAAUUUAACACAUUCAGUCCAAAGCCCAAUCAUGUAAAAAAAAAAAAAAUUAUUUUUAUUUUUAUUAUUUUUUUUUUUAUUGGCAAGCAGGGUUGUUGUCUUGUUGACGGCCCUACUACCCCUUUAGGGCAAUCCCAAUCGUAGGGCAUUUGAGAAGGGCGUUUGAGAAGGGCGGUAGUAUGAAAUGCCCUUUCAGCCAAAAUUCCUUCCCCAAUAGAACGGUGGGUCAAAUAUUCAAAGGUGGUUAGAAGUUCCAAUGGCAUUUGAGAGGGGAAUAGAGUGCCAUCCAAAAUGUCAUGUUAAUUGCAUAAGACGGAACACAAUGUUCAAGUUCAACACUUUUUCGGAACUCACAGUUCCGUCUUAUACACUUUAUCUCAUAUGGAACUUGAAGUUUCGUCUUAUACACUUAAAAAAAAAAACGGAAUACAGAGUUUCGUCUUAUACACUUUAAAAAAAAAACGGAAUACAGAGUUUCGUCUUAUAUUUAGUAAAAUUACCGGAACUCAAAGUUCCGUCUUAUAAGUCAUUUAAUUUUCUUAAACUGACAUUUCCAAAUUUUUCCAUUGGCACCCCUUAGCAUAGGGUUUUGACUACCAUGCAUAGAGAGUGAUUUUGAAAGUGGUUUUGCUUAUGUGGCACCUACAUGGAGGGCACCAAACUGCCCUCACAUUGGGAUUGCUCUUAUUAAAAUAAAAUAAAAAUAGACAGAAUAGAUAUUAAAACUAUUAAAAUAAAAUAAAAAUAGACAGAAUAGAUAUUAAAACUAUCUUUAAUUUAAUAACUAAAAAGUUUAGUCUCUAUCUAAUUUUGAUUUUAAAAAAAAUCGAGAAAAAACAACUAAAAUAUUGGCGAAAAUUUUGAAUAUAUACAAAAUCUUCCACAAAAAUCUAUCUCUUCUUUCUUGUUUGAUCUCAAGAUGGGUGCUAUGAAUCAACAACUUCAAGUUUUGAUUCUCGCUGGCCCAUACUAUUGGGUUAUUUGCUUGAAAGAGUUUUGUUACCAUAAUGGACAUGUUCGACAUUGUAAAAGCUCACAUUCCAAAAAAAAAAGAUUGCAUGUGUUAUGUGUGGGGUGAGUUGUAAUGACUUGGAUUCAUUGGUGGCACAUUUCUUCUGCUCACGUGAACCGUGUUCGUGCAACAAAGUGUAGGUUAUGUGAGGAAAGUUUAGCAAAUUUCGAAGUUGUUCUUGCGCAAGCGUCAUUUGGAAAAGAACUUUUGAAGCAUUGGUUCUUGAUGGUUUGAUGAUAUUUUUGCUGGUGAAAAAUUUAUGGAGUGGUAGUUUUUCUAGGAUUAAGACUUAAUCACACUCUGGUGCUACUUUUAGUUUGUUAUCACAUAUUUAAUAUGUGGUUGGAAACCAUAUGAACAUAAUCCAUUUCAAUAAAAAAAAAAGUUUUUAACUAUUAUGUUCAACUAUAGAUCGAUUGAACGUAUUCAUUAAGUCACGAAGAAUUCAAUUAAAGUUUAAUUAUACAAAGCUUUGGCAAAACUCAAUUGAAAAAACAAAAGUAAUUUUUUAUUUGGGAAGAGUGUUGGAAGUCUAGGAAAACAUCAAAAUGAAGUAUCUAUACCAAGAAUAUCAUUGUUUUUUUGGGUUUAAGUAUUGUUUCAAUCGAAUUUUACACCAAUGUGAUGUAGAAUCAAGAAGAAACCCCUAAUACUAUGAUGUAAGGAAAUUGAGAAGAUGAAGAUGAAGGAAUAGGGUUUUGGUGAUUGAUUAUGGCUGCACUAAGUUGUUUCUUAGUUGCCUACAUAUCCAUAAGAAAGAUGAAAUCAAGCCUUUUAUAACGUACUUCAAUGGUAGAGUUUGAUUAGGGUUAGGAUGUAAUCCAGUGAUCCCUAAUGUAUUGCAGUGUUGUAGUCCUAUGCAUUUUGACCAUAUAAUGACAAGAUAAUGUACCUCAUGUCCUAUUAUCUUGAAGACAUGAGUUGUAGAUAUUUAGACAUUCUGUUGGAUUAGGUUAAGGAAAUCUCUACAAAGAUGUAGAAUUACCAUAUUAACCUUAUUGUUAAAAAAAAAAAAAAAAAAAACUUAAUUAAUAAAGCCCAUGAUUGAUAUUGAAUUACCAUAUAAUGGACUUAAAUUGAUAAAGCCCAUGAUUGAUAUUGAAUGUACUAACGGACCUAAGCCUUAUUACUAAUUGAAUUGAGUUUAGGCUCUUAUUGAUUAUAGUCUUGGGUUUUGACUUGUAAUUGACUUGGGGUUGAGCCCGUUAAGAGGGGUUAACACAUCUCCCCCUCUUUAGCCGAGGGGUGAAACCAAUUGGGUAAAUAAGAAGAGAAAAAAAAAAAAAAACAAAUGAGUGUAAAAGGGAGAAAACAAAAAUGCGGAGAGAAAAGGCAAAUGUACGAAAAUAAAAUUAUUGAAAAAAAAAAUGGAAAUGAUCUGGAGCAAGGAUGAAAACCCAAAUAUAGAAAAAAAAAAUACAAUCCAAAUUAUAACACAUGAGUUUGGGCAAAAAUGGAAGUGGCCAUGCACACAUGCAUAUGGGCAAAAGAAUGGGUAAAAUCAAUAAUGGGCCAGUAUGCUACGUGAAAGAGAAAGACAAAUCGGCAAGCAAAGGUAAGAGAAACAUAAUGAAUGUUUGUAAACAUUGGAAACCAUGUUAAUGGGUAACGAAGAAUUGUUGGAAUAUAGAAAUCCAUGAUAAUGAGAGUGUGGGGUGAUGAAUUCUUAACUAAGAAAGUGUGGGUAAUAGUAAAUAAUGAAUAAGCUAUAAAAAUCCAAAAUUAUAAGUUGCCUAGCAAAUGUUUCAUGAAAUUCCAAAGAGAAUGUGUAAUGUAAAAUAUGAAGAAUAGAUUAAUAAGGACUUUGACAUGUGUUUACAAAUAGUUGCAAGGAAGGAAUACACUUGUAUUAUGAUUAACAUUAUGUUGUUGUAUGUAGGUAUUGACAAGGAUACAAGAUGCCAAAAAAGGUAGCAAAUGCGAAGAGUAAUAAGGAUGAGAUCAGAGGAGUAAAGAAAAAAUAAAAAGGCAAAAGAAAAGAGAGCCACUACCGCUGAAAAAAGCCAAACAAUAUCGAUGGUCAAAAGGAGGAGCUUUUCGACAUUGUAAAGAGUCUCAAAGCAUAACAAAAAUUGGGAUCCGGACUAAAUUCAAACUCCAAGAGUUUGAAGUGAUGAAUAAUGGGGGUAAAAGAUAACUUGCUCCAAAUACGAAUAGAGAGAGAGCUCUUCAUUCAAAUUCAAGUAGAUCUUUCUAAGGUAUUCGAUUUCUUCUUAAUAUUAACUUUAAUUCUUGGAUUUAGUUAUUUGAUAGAUUCAUAUGUAGAUCAUCAUCAUCUUAUUUAAUUUACUUACUAAUGUUAUUUAAAAUUAGGGUUUUGUGGUGUUCUUCAUUGAAAUUUUCACUAAAUUUGUUUCAUUUUGGUAUUUUAUCUUUAAAACAACUUUGAAAUACUAUUCUUACUUGAUGGAAAUAUUAUAGCUUGUGGAGAGCAUUUCAAACUCCAUUCUUAAAGUUCAUUUCAAAUUUCAUCUGUCGUAUAUGGCGCCUAUAUGGAGGGCACCAUACUACCCUUGUAUUGGGAUUGCUCUUAUGCUAAUGUGCUUUGAUUAAAGGGAAGAAAUAUUCUUCAAAAGAUAGAGACUUUGUUCGAUCUGAACCAUUUCAGUAGACCUUAUAUCAUAUAUAUAACAUUGUUUUUCUGAUCAAUAUAAAACUGUGAACAUAUCAUUUCCCAAAAUGUUAGUAUAUGCUGAUUAGAAAUCACAAUUCUUUUUUCAAGAAAUAUUUAUAAUUUCCCUAAUUUUUUAUAAUUGAUUUGGGUAAUCACGGUUGGGGUUAACUGGUGAGAUAGUAGCACUCUACCAAAGAGAAUGAACUUAGUAAAAGCGUAGAUAAUCAAAUACAAUUAAGCCUUACUUUUGCUGACAAUUUUUGUUGUAUUUUCCUAGCAGAUUCGGUUUGUGGGUUCUGAAUAUCUUGCAAAAUAGAUUUUGUUCUUGGUUUCUAUAACAUAUGAUGUGAAAAGUUUCUAAAUUGUGAUGUUAGACACUAUCUUCAUAUUUAUUCUACCUAAACAGAAUAAUUUUCUGACUUAUCAAAAUAGAUUUUGUUCUUGGUUUCUAUAACAUAUGUGAAAAGUUUCUACAUUUUUAUGUUAGACACCAUCUUCAUAUUUAUUCAACCCUUCAUAAUGUCUCCACAUAUAUCUGGUGUCUCAGGAUAGUCGCGAAAUGUAUAUGGCUGGAGCUGUAAAAUCAAUUUUAUCACCAUCUUAGCUUUAUUUCUGGCUUUAGCUAGUAUUUUGCUUUCUUCAAAUGGCUUCUUUAGUUUUAGUAAUCGAAAUUAUGUGUGUUUGAUGAGGAUAUUAGUGAACCUUUGAAGACUCCAUUUCUUUCUUUCAGAUUCUGCAAUCUGAAGACAUCACGGACGCCUCCUCCACCAGAUCCAAACGAACCCUCAAAUUUUGCUGAGGCAAUUGUAUCAUGGUAAUUUUUCUAGGAUUAAGACUUAAUCACACUCUAGUGCUACUUUUAGAUUUUUGUUAUCACAGAUUUAAUAUGUGGUUGGAAACCAUAUGAACAUAAUCCAUUUGAAUAAAAAAAAAAAGUUUUUACCCAUUGUGUUCAACUAUAGAUCGAUUGAGCGUAUUCAUUAAGUCACGAAGAAUUCAAUUAAAGUUUAAUUGUACAAAGCUUUGGCAAAACUCAAUUGAAAAAACAAAAGUAAUUUUUUAUUUGGGAAGAGUGUUGGAAGUCUUGGCCUUUUGGCAUUUCUGUUACCAUGGGAUCCUCCUUCUUUAACAUCAGAAAUGCCCUCUUCCUCAAUCUCCCCAGCUCCAGCUGGUCCACCUGGAUUGGGAUCAUCAUCCAAGGCCGCAGGUUGAUGGUUCAUGUCUUCCACAGGCACAUUUUGGCUGUUGGCUGCAUUUUCAAUCACAUUAGGGGGAGCGGGGGAUUGACCUCUUCAGCAACAGGUUGAACAUUACGUCCAGGGAUUGGAUUUUCAUCAACUUCAUUCAGGACAUCUGCAUCUUCAUCAAAGUCUAUCUCCUCAUCUUCAUCAUCAUAUUGGGAAUCACGCUCCUCAUCAUCCCCCCACCCAAGUAUGUUAGACUUGUCUCUACAGUUUGCUUGUGCUAAGGGUGUAUCUACCAUAGAAACACCAAGGCUCACAGAUGUCUCUUACCAGAGCUCCAUCCUCAGUUCUAACCCAGUUCUUAAGUCGAAGGCAGUCAUCACGACGUACCUUCUCUGGAGGUGGAGAGAACACAUUGAAGAACUCAUCUCAAAUCCGGUUAAUGGCACCUGGAAUCAGCAUACUCAAAUCUUGAAGGUCGGUAUGGAAGGAAGGAAAUUCAAUAAAAUGUCGUCGGCACAUAGACCUUUUCACACAGGAGUAAAUUUGAUCAAACCAUAUUGCUUCCAUGACUUGUCUUUCACCAUCAGAACCACCAGAAGAGGAAGAAGAUGAGGAAGCCAUGGAGGUAGCCUAAAGCUUCUUGAGCACAACUCUUGGAUGCCCAACCAACUAUUGAUGAGAGUAAAUUUACUUUUGGCGCUUCAACUUCUAGGAGCUGACUUUAGCUCUGCAGCUUUUGUCUUUAUUGCUAGGUCUGUUGUUUUUUUUGUUUUUGGGUAUUUUUGUUCUUAUACUUAAGACAAUAAUAUUGUCAUUCUUUUGUAGUGAGGUAGGGCCCAGUCCCCCUCACAAGCCCAAAUUCAAAUUUUAAUCACAGGUAGGUGUUCUGGCAAACCCCACCAGGUAUAUCAUGUCCUCAACGUGGAGUUAAGUUGCUUGGAGGGGCGGUCGAUCAGUAUUGAUGCAUCAUUCAUUGGUCAGUAUUGAUGCAUCAUUCAUUGCGGGCCUUAAACAGCCAAGCUAAUGAGCCUACUAGCAGAACUAAAAGACCCACAAUGUGAGUUGGAACUACUACGAGCAUGCAUGGGAUUACCUAAACUUAUCUUCGUUCUUCGUACUUGGCAACCAACUUUUGUUCAGGAAACAGCAGAGUAUUUUGAUUGCAUCCUUCGGGCAACCCUUCAGGGUAUCAUAAUUGCUGAUGGUCUAGGUUUUGGUGACCUUCAGUGGCGCAUAGCAACCAGGGCGUUACGCCUUGGUGGGUUGGGCAUUUAUUGUGCCACAGAUGUCAGUAAGUUUGCCUUCGCAACCUCUCGAUGCCAAACUCAAAGAGCUCCAGGACCACAUACUCCGAGGGUGUGGUACAUUACUACACACAUGGAUGGUGCUUUUGGAUAGUGCAGUUGUUGAGCUAUAACUUUCUCUCCCUGAUUUCGACCUUAGCAUUCUAGCCUCAAGGGCUACCGCCCCCCCCCCCCCCCCAAACCCCAACACACACUGGCGAAAACUUACUACAGGAAGAUUGCUACUGGUAUUGACAGGGAUUUUGAUUUGUCUGCUCGUCAGAGGGCUGUGAUAGAAUGCUUACAGACCAAACAUGCCAAGGACUUCCUUAUUGGUAUUCCUAUGGAAGGGUUAGGACAACGCAUGACAGCAGUGGAGUAUCGUGCCAUUCUCCGGUACCGUCUCAUGAUCCCGUUAUUUACACAUGGGGACUUAUGUCCUGUAUGUAAGAAGAGUCGACUAGACGCUUUUGGGGACCAUUCUGUACACUGUAAGUAUUACUCCGGUUUUAAAUACAGACACGAUCAUGUGCGUGAUAUACUGUAUGAUGUGGUAUGGCGAGCAGAAAUACAGGUAAAUAAAAAGGCUCCGAUCAAUUUUCUUACAGUCCCGUCAGAAGACAGUUCAACACUACGCCUAGCUGAUGUUUUUAUAUAUAGUUGGUUAGAAGGGAAACAUGCAUGUGUUGACAUCACAGGAGCAUCUCCGAUGGUGGGGUUUGGCAAUGAAAAUUUUGAAGUGGGCCAGACAGCCCUUAAUGCAGCUGCAGCUAAGGUACAAAAACACGAGGGAGCAUGUGCAGUGAACCAACAUUGUUUCAUUCCUUUUGCUUUUGACACUUUUGGGUUUGUAGCACCAGAAGCAGUUGAACUUCUCAGGAGGGUACAGAAGGUGAUGAAUAGCAAUGUGAUGACGGCCGGUUCCAAUGAAUAUGUAUUUCGUAGGAUUGGUUUUGCUAUUCAAAAAGGGCUUGCAGCGCAGUUUGUAGCGCGCUUGACCUCUAGCUUUGUGUAAUUCUUCUUUUAUCAAUAAAAUUUAUUUUUUAUUCAAAAAAAAAAAAAAAAAUGUUGGAAGUCUAGGAAAACAUCAAAAUGAAGUAUCUAUACCAAGAAUAUAAUUAUUUUUCUGGGUUUACGUAUUGUUUCAACUGAAUUUUACACCAAUGUGAUGUAGAAUCAAGAAGAAACCCCUAAUGUUAUGAUGUAAGGAAAUAGAGAAGAUGGAAACGAAAGAAUAGGGUUUUAGUGAAUUUUUACACCAAUUCCCAAGAAUUAAGAAAAUUCCAUCAUCAAAUCUUGGAAUAGAGGGUAACUCAAAUUUCCACUUUCAUUUGUUUCUCAAAUUUAGUUUACUUUCUAAUGGUUUCACUAAUAAACAAAAACUCCUUACGACUUUUCUUUUACAAUAAACAAAAAUGUUUGUGCAUUAUUUGAUCAAUUGGGACCGUACAAUCUAACUACCUCAAGAUUAAUCCAAAGGUCAGAUUUCUUGUUUGGUCUCUCAGUCCAAAUAUAUAUUCAGAAUUGAUUAGUGUGAAAUUGUGAAUGGAGGACUUGUUUCUAUGACCUACUUUUUUGUUCUUUGUGGAAUGAUUACUUAGAAAACUCUACCAAUGUAUAUUGCUUGCACAUGGGCAAGGAUUUUGAUGUUCAAUACUACACAAAUGAAGUAGGUUUAUGUUCUUCAUCUGCUUUCUUCAAAGAUACCCCUGCUUCUCAAUGUCCUAUAUAUGUGGAAUAGAAUGUUAUAAGCAGUAGAUUUUACCACCAUAUGUGACAUAUUGAAUGUGAUUAAACCUAUAUAUAUAUAUAAACAUUCAUUAUGAAGUAUUUAAUAUACACUUGAAAACCCAGUUUGGGGAGGAGAAUUUGCCCUAAAGUAUAUAAACCACUUGAAAAUGUAUAUAUAUCAUGCAAAUGUGAGUGGGCAACAUAUCAAAGACGCCUAGGGGGGAAUACAUCAUGCACCCACAACAUGCUUCAUUUUUAAUCAAAUCUCUCAGUUAGUCAUUAUCUUAGGUACACUGUUGUUAGUUGAAUUUUUAGACUAGGAAGCUCUUUUGAGAAUCAUUGACUAACAACACACAAAUUCUUGAGAAAAACAACAACAAAACUUCUUAAUUCAAAUCCCAAAGAAGCAACUCAUCUUAUCACUUGCAUUAGCUUAAGGGCCAGUAAUGUCAUUAUAAUAGUACUUGUCUCCCCUUAAAGUCUUGGUAAAUUUGAACAUCUUGUGAUCUUGAAUCUCGAUCCAAGCAACAAAAUCCAUAAAUCAAGAGUGCAUGUUUUAAUUCAUAUAUAGUGAAAAUUUGUUCUACACUUUCAAAGUGUGUGGAUGUCGAUAUAUAUAGUUAGUUGAUAACAUUUCUCAAAAGAAGGUUUUCCUUUUAAAAUGUUCACUAGAGUACGGAGGGUUGUUUUUAGGCCAAGGGGACCAACAUUCCAAGCUCCAUAUCCUUGAUGUCUAGAUGCAUUAAUGCAUCCACAGUCAAGACCAUUGUGCGCAGUUUCGUCUAUAGGUAUAUUUUUGCAAAAUACUACAUGGCAUGUUCUUGAAUCAUCGAUCAUCACAUAGUGGUCAUCAGGUUAUGUAGAAACAUUUCUUACACGAAGAAGAAGAUCGAAGAACCAGCUUAUUGUUAAUGUUACAGCACUUUGGUUUUGCAUGCUAUUUUCAUACAUGAUUCUCAGAUAUGUGUUUUUGUAUCACAAGCCCUUUUCUAUUGAAAAAGUUUUGCAGCAAGUAAUGAAAAUUACAUGCUUUGCUCUUUAUGUUUUCUUAAAAAGAAAAACAUGCACUAGAAUAGUAGAAUGUCACUAUGUCUCUAUGUGUAAACAUCACAUGCAACCCAAGUUAAUAUGAGCACUAUGUUCUUCUGCCUUAAUGUGCACAAGGGAUGUUCCAAAGCAUACAAAACAAACUAGUAUAAAGACAACAAUUCAUGUGGUUGACAAGACAAAGGAAGCUCUAGUUUUGAAAAUUUGAGAAUGGUUGAGGAAACUACUAUUUAUUUUUGCCUCAAAGUGCAAGCACAUGGCUGGACCUAAUCACCUAUAUAAAUAUAUGCUUAGGUAACAUGAACUUAUUAUUAUUAUCAUCAAGAAAAAGUAAUCACUUAAUUAAACAACAAACUUUUUUUCCCUUAUAAUUAACCUCAUGAAGUUAUUAAUUUCUUUUGGUGUGGAUCAUUUAGUUAUCAUUAUAGUUUCAAUACAUAUAUUGAUAUAUACACAUUGAAUCAUAGUUAAUUAGUGAUUUAAGAAGUUUGCUAGAUACUCUGACAUUGACAGAGUUGAGGACUUGAGGAGAUGUAUAUGCUUUUAAAUGAUGAUUGAGAAUAAGUGAACUAAUUAAUAACAGUUGAUUAUCUCAAAUCACAUGAUCAGAUGAUCACUUCAGAAGAAAAAUAGGUCAGUUUAGAGUAGGUCAAAUGAAAAAAAAAGAAUAGAAAGAAUAUUGGUCUCAUUCAGACACACAGGACAAAAGAUGUUUUCUCUUUUGCUAUUUUUUUUUUUUAUUAAUCCCCAUUUUAAUGAACAAUUUUUUUUUUACCCUAAUUCUGUUCUAUAUAGAUAAUUUUGAACCUAAUUAUUAGAAAAAUAAAGAUGGUAAUUUUCAGGUUUAUGUAACCGAGCGCUGAGUGCACAACUAGGAAAACCCUACACUGUUGGACGAUCGCAAUGGCUAAAUAAAAACAAUAUUUAGUGAUAUAUAUAACACUAAUAUGUAUAAAUUGGAAAACCAAAGCAGGUCCUUAAACUUAAGGACACAUUUUUGAAGAGGUAGACCAUGCACAUUCAUAUUCAAUUGAAUCUAUCUAUCUAUCUAUCUAUCUAUCUACUUUUAAAGGGUCACAUACUCACAUGUAAGGAACUAAUUUGGACCAAUUACAAUAUUUAGAAAUGGACAUGAAGAGAUAUAGUUAUUAAUUCCAUCAAAGAAUAUGUUUUGAAAUGAAACAAAGGUAUCAAUUAAAGCUAAACAUAUUUAAUCACCGUUUCUAAUUAUUCUACCUCUCUUAACCGUCAUUAGAGAAUCUCUUAAUCAUCUAAGAAGUAAGAACUGCUAUAAAUAACAGAGAAACCAGUCUUUCAACUCCCUCUUCCUUUAUCUCUCUCACUCUCAUUCUCUAGCUUAAAACACCUAACAAUGAAUCCAUCAUCAUCUUCUACUUCUUCUAAAGAAAAGAAGAGUAAGAAGAAGCAGCAACAGCAAGACGAAACAACAGUUAAGUUUGUUGGAGUUAGAAGAAGACCAUGGGGAAGAUAUGCAGCAGAAAUAAGAGACCCUUCAACUAAAGAAAGACAUUGGCUUGGAACCUUUGACACUGCUGAAGAAGCUGCUUUAGCUUAUGAUAGAGCAGCUCGGUCCAUGCGAGGUUCUCGAGCACGAACAAACUUCGUGUAUUCUGACAUGCCUUCUGGCUCUUCUGUCACCAACAUAAUUUCCCCUGAUGAAACUUCACAACAUAACAAAACCCACAUUGCUCCUCCUUCACAAAACCAACAAACUAUUCCCCAAUUCUACUUGACAGAGGACUCUGGAAAUGUGUGUGAUUUCUCUGACAGGUACCCUGCCGCAGAGUCAUGGGGUCAGGGUUCAUUCUGUCAACAACAGCAACAACCUGUUUCAAUGGAUAGUGGCUUUGGGUCUCAACAGUUCUAUGAUGGAACAGGGGUACCUUCCUUGGGCUAUGAUGUCUCGGCUAGUUAUGGUUCCAAUUCAGGUUAUGAUAUGGUUCAGGAACUUUGGUCCAAUGAUAAUACUGGAUAUUCGAAUUCUGAGCAACUAUCGACGGCUUUUAACCCCAUAAAAACUAGCUCCUAUUUGGAUUUUGAUUCCAGUGAAUAUGUACACAGUCCACUCUUUGGAAGGAUGCCACCAGUAUCUGAUUUUGCAUCAAACGACAACAACGGAUUUGAUUCAUCAUCGUACUUCUUCUGACACUUGGAGCACUUUCGUUUUCGGGGGACUUUCUUUUUCUUUUUACUCUCUUUGCAUUUGAUGGAGUGUUUAUAAGCAAGGAGUUGGGUUUACAUUUUUUUUUACUUCUAAGUUUCACUACAUUCGGAACUCUGCUGCUGAAACUGGGGACAACAAGGCAAUAUGUCUUCCAGUGGUCACCAAGGGUCAUUCUUCUGGAGAGAUUCCUGAAAUGUUUUCUUCUUUUUUAGAUGUUAUGUUAGCAAGUUUGUUUCCUGUUUGGGGCUGGAGACCAAUUAUGUAUCACAUAAGCAUUCUGCUCAAGUUGUUCUGUUAAAUCAAAUACUGUAAUAUGCAUCCUUCUGUCCCUGUGUGUUGCGCGCUGUUAAACACUAACAACAAUAGUAGUUUUUAGUGCAUAAAAAACAUCCCAGUUGCACAAGGCGCAACGACGUUGAAGCAAUAGUAAUGAACACCUUCAAACAAGGCUAGAGCAGCUAAGACUCCAUUUACCAGACAAUAACAAUAAAACAUUUAGGUACUGCCUCAAAACUGAUGCACAAGAAAUUCCAUUUUUUCCAUCCAGAAAGCUGUUGCCGAACAAGGUAGUGUGGUCUAUUGGUACUGUAUAUCGCAAACCCAGAAGGUGCAUUGCUUUCCAUUAUAAUUUAGCACGCAUGUAACGUUGAUUUAUUUGAGAAAAAAGAAAAUAACAGAUUAACUAAGCAACACAAAACAUUUUCAUUUGCUAAAUGCUACGCUUUUUAUAAUGAAUGACUAAAUUACAAACGAUAUGAUCAAUGAAUUACACUAUCUAUUGUUUAAUUCCGACUCAGUUAUUGUAGUUGUGUGUUGGAUAACAAAAUGGUCUACAAUUCUAACAGUGGCAAGAGGGUCCUGCUGAGCCGCAGAUGCAGUCCACUUGCUUGGAUGCUUUCUGAGAUGGCUCAAUGGAUGUGGUUGUUUUGUUUCCCUCUCGCCAUCCCACUCUGGAUCCAGUUUCCAGUCUUUUGGAACCUACAAAACAGCAUGAAUCAGUCACAUCCCUAAAUGACUAAACUAACCAUUUUUUCUAGUACUACAUGGCCAAACUUGUGGGGUAUCAUGCAUGUUCUACUAGUGUCACCUGGACUCACAACUCAAUGGUCAAUCUAGAAAAUAGAUAAGCAAAGUUUACAAGCUCAAUAAACAAAGGAAGAAGUGAUUUGCUGGGGGGAAUGCAUGUGUCCCUUAAACCAUAGAUGUGGUUUUCUGGGGGGAAUGAUUGAAUGAAGGAAUGACCUGAGCCUCUUCAACCAAACAUCAUAUAGUGUGACUUACAGAUAUGGCGUAAUAAGCAAAUUUAUAUUCUUACCUUGUCCACUGCAAGGGUGAAUACUUCGAGGUCUCCAUCACGGGUUAUGUGGAAGCGGGUGAAUGCCUUGUAAUUUGCAAUGCGUAGAGAAGAGAAGGCUUCAUCAAAGUGCAUGUGGAGCCAAUUGAUGCAAAUGUACAGGUAGCUACCGAACACCAGAGAGACCACUGGAGUUGAAAAAACCCAAAAGUAAAGGAAGACAGCAGCAUAGUAAAUGAUAGCACCACCACGUGAAAGUGACUCCAUUCCAUUCUUGCAAAUGUUACUCCUGGUGACAGCCAUGACCUGAAAAUUUCUCCGCCAUGAAUACUACACUUAACUAAAAACAAUUUCUGAGACUUGAAAAAUAAAUGCAAGAAAGAAUAUGAACACAUUCUCACCUCUGGGACGUCAAACGCAGACAUGAGAUAUUUUAUACAAGCGGGGUAAAGGCCUAAUGUCCACUGUUCAAUACGAGCUCGAAGGCCGGUUGGGUCAGGGAAUUGCUCACUUUCCACCUUUCGAUACCAUUCAUAAAGGGUAUGAUAUCCUGAAAUGGAAUAAACAGCAUUUACCAAUUACCAUUUCGUGGUAGUUCAAGCAACAAACAUCUCCAUGGUAGUCACUUGCAACAAACAUCUCCAUGGUAGUCACUUACCACACCCAACAGUAGGCCAGCAAUCAUUUGGGAUAAUUAUUGCAUCUUGUCUAUAAUGUACUAGUAUUUUUCAAGAUGUUGUAAGAAAAAAAAAAAAUACUUGAAAGGAUAGAUAUAAGAAUACGUUGAUUCCAAAAAAGUGAUAAACGAUAUCUAUUCCAUAUUCUUGGAUAUUUUAGAAAUACUGGUUGAACGCAUGUUUAUCUGUAUAUAUCCCUAACAUAUGGAAUCAGGUUGCAGACAUCCAUCAAGUCCCUAAUAUUUAGAACUUAGAAUAGAUUUUUAGUAGAAAGAAAAGAGAAAACAAAAAGGGGGAAAAAAGGGAAUGUUCUUCACAACUAUUAUUGUCUGACUAUGAAUGUUCUUCAUCAGGUUUCCCCAUAUUUCAUAAUCGACUAAUAGUUCUCCCAAGCAUUCAUAGUCAGACAAUAAUAAAUACAUCAUCUUUCAUAAAGAUAAUUGCCAACAAAUACCUAGAAACUCAGAGUGUUCCAGUAUGUCAAAUCAUUAAAAGGUUCAGUAGGGAUUUGUCAUAACCCAUACUUAAGAUGUCUUCAUCACUUCUGGUCAAAUACAAAUUUGGAAUAAACCUACCGAUCAUAGACUUGGCUGAAAAUACAUGGAUAUCCUCCAGAUAUAUAUUAUUACAGACACAAGACUUAUAGAAUCAUACAAGUUUGACCCUUCAAGAAGAAACAGGACACAAUAACUCAUGAGUCCAGAAAAGAGUCUCAUUUAAAAAACUAUGUCAAAACCUUGUUUCAUGAGGUGAAAUGGUGUGGGAAAUCCUAAUCAAUAGAAAUAUACCAAACAGAAAAAACGCACCUGAGGUUGCUAGCAGUUGAUGGCGGAUACAAGUCUCAACACCCAACUCUAAAAGCAACAUGAGAAUGAGUGCUGAGGCCAAGUGGGCAGAAACAUGGAGAAUGCCAAUAGCUGCCCUUUUUUUUCGUGACAAUUUAUUAGGAACAAAUAAAUAUGCUGCAAUCAGCAAAAGGAAAGUCCCAGCUGAUGACACAGACGAGUAUUCCAGAAUGUACAAAAAUGCAUGCCACACUGUGAGAAAGAAACUAUUCAGAUGACCCGAAAUAGAAUCAUCCUUAAGAAUGUGGUCGAGCUUACACUGAAAAGUGCAUAAACAAUAUGUCAGGUCCACAAAAAUACCUUGGUACAUUAAAGGAUCCAAGUCUCAAGAGUACAAAACAACCUCCAGAGGAGUAUAGUAAACUUUGAAGUUUGAAUGAAAUUACCUGAGGGAACAUGGAGAAGGCCAAUAUAAAGUAAAUGAUACCACCAAUGAAGUCAAAUUGCCAGUUCUUCUUCCGAAACUUUAAAAUGUUUCCAAGUGCGAUCUGGACCAUGUUUUCAUUUAGUUAUGGCACUAUCCAGAACAUAACAAGGGCUAACAUAUCCAAAUUGGUCAACAUUAUGACAUCCAAAUGGGGUUCACUCAAUUGAAAGUUUUAACUUACCUUGCUCGAAUCUUCAAAAGAAGGAUAAGCAGCCUUGCUUUCAUAAGAAGUUCCAUACUGUGUUUUGAAGUUUCUAAAGACGUGAGUUGGAUGCAAGAAUGCACCGCCACAGCCAUUUACGAGUAAGUGUUGCACAUAAACUGGCUUAUCUGACUGGGUAGAAGAAUGGCGCAUAUAAUGGUGCAAGUCCCCAGCCAUCCGUAGCUUACACCUUCCCUUCAAAUAAUCACGUAUCAAAUGAGACACGUUCUUUCCAGAGACAUCAUUCCAGUACCAAUCAAGAAGCCAAGUUGGUUCGUGAGUCAUUAUAAUCACCGAGUCAUUCUCCCCAACCUGGAAAACAUUAAAACCAACUGCAUCAGAAUAAAUCCUGCCACAAUAUUAUAAUAGCUCAUAUAUACAAGAAUCUUAAUUCUUUCUCAGCAAAAAAGUAGUGGAAAGAGUGAUUUCCAAUACACAAAAAGGGCUACUUACAUCUAUAGCAACUCCUCAACUUUCUAACUGGCAGUUCACGAGUGCAUAAAUAAAGAACAAGUGGUACUAUCACCAAGUGAUGGAGACCAUUGACAAGCCAUUAAUUUCAUUUUAUUCCACUAAAAGAUAUAAAUUUCAUCAACAGAACAACAAGCGGAAUAUGAAGAUAUCAGAACAUCAAAAUUCUAUGUAGCUAUGUACAUAGAAUGCAAUCGCAGAAAAGAUGAAAAGUACAAUGAAAAGUACAGCCAAACUGGAUAACUCGAAGCUACAAUGUCUCAAACUUGUAAAAAAGUAACUACAGAUGGGACAUAUUUAUCACGAUGAAUACGAGUACAACUAGACAACUCAUCUGAUACUCAACAUAAGUUACUACUUAACCAACCACAAAGAAUGCAUCCAUUAACUCUCUUUGAAUGAAUGGUUAACUAUAUUUAACAAUGUUAGUGUGUUACGCAUACCAUUUUAUCUUCUUACUAUCAUAUGAAUAGUUUAAGACCAGCUAGAGAAUAUAUACACGUGAUAGUCAUGGAAAAGGUAGAAAAGCUCUCAGGUAGCUAUGUUGCAUCACUUCAUGCCAAUUUAAAAUUAGUUAAAAAAAAAACCUACAAUCUGCAUUGAGCCAUUGUUUAACAACACAAAGGGGAUGAUGCCAAAGCAAACGUGACAAAUAUACCUUAUCUUUUAUUAAUUCUGCGAAGAAUUUGAACUGAAACACGUCAAUGUCACAAUGGAGAGCUUGAUCAAGACCAAAUACCCACCAUCCUUUAGGAAGCUGCAAUGCAAAAUAACUCUUUUUCUGAGGAAGGAACCAACCACCCAACCAACUUUUAUGACAGAUAUACCGCAUGAAAGUGUGAAGUCCAUCAAACCAAUCUGUAGAAAAGGCAACUGUACACUCAGAGGAAUGAAACGAAGUGGAAACUAUAACUAAAAGAAAAACACAAGGAUAAUCAUUCAAUUAAGCAUCAAGAUAUUCUAUUAACUCAUUUUUACAGUUAACUGUGUUACUAGUGCUAGGUAGUUUAGUUGUGAGUAGUACCAACCAUGGUUUCCAGGAAUUACAAAACAUUGAGGUCCAUCAUAUCGCUUCAGCUCAGAAACUCCAGGAGGGACCUCUGGCUUGUCAACCGCUAUAUGUUCCGGUUUAUACCAAUGUGGAGGCUGGAGAGCGUAUUCAAAAGGGCAGAAAAGUCGCUUCUCAUAUGUAAAUGCUGAAGGAUUAGGAUACCUGAAAAUUAACAAUGUUGGCUAAUAGAUGACAUUGUAAACAUAUAAAAUACUGCUUAUAUAACUUUUGAAUGAUAAAGUGGUAUUAAAAUAAUCGAGGCAUAUUAAAUAUAAGCAGUGGACCAUAAUGCUCCAUUGAAAGCAAUGCCCCUUCAAACCAAUAUUAGAAAAUUAGAGGUGUACCCUGCAGGUUAUAUUGAAUGCAAACUUGUAGUUCUCAAUUAGUGAUGAUUCUCUUUUAACAGAUAUAAGAUCUUAUUCAGCAUUUGGCAUAAAGUCUCAGCCAAUAUUCAGUUGGACAUCACAUGGUUUCCUAUAGAAAAUCACAUCAGUUGGACAUCAGUUGGACAUCACUAUAGAAAAUCUCUCCAAGUUCUCCCUUUAUUUAAAUUUUUAGCUUCUAGAAAAUUUCUUCAUGUACUACUUCUGCAUGUACACGUUCAUCCAACCAAUUCUUCAACUUGUGUCAACCCAAAACAUAUAAAAAGCAAUUACUAUAAUUUAUAUAAGACAGUAAAUAUUGGUUUGGUACGUUGUUGAUGAGCAUAGUGAAGACAUAAAUGAAAGUAGAGGGGCGAACAUUAGAAAUUGAACAUCGUGGUUACACACAUAGCGUAUGUACAUGCUACAAUAAAAAGAGCAAUUAGCUUACGCAAGAUCCCCUCCUAUAAGAAGUACAUCUCCACGUGGUAGGAUCCGCUCAGAGUCACCACUAUUCAGCGAAAUAGAAGGUUGAGCAAGCAAGCGAGCCACCGUAUAAGACGAGUUUCCACCAUCUCCCGUAUCAGCCAUAAAGUCAAACCAAAGAUCAUCCUUUUCACUAAGAUGAUCAUACAAAAGAUCACCUCGAGUACCUUCUUGAUUCUUGCUCAUCGCCGCCUGAUCAAAGGAGGAAGAAUCAAAACAAGAAUUUGUUUCUCAGAUCAAAUGACAAAAAGGAAAAUAUGUUUCUUGGAUCACAUGACCACGAGGUUGCCAAACCUAUUCAAGUGGCAACCGGCAACCCUAAUAGUAAUCAUAAAUAUAAAGCAUAUGUUGGUUUUCAUUAACUGAAUAUAAAAAGUAAUACGUAGAAAUGAAUAUCCAAGCUUCUAAUCAUAAAUAUAUAAGAACUGGACAGCAGCUUGUUUGUGAAUGUUUUGAUUCUCAUGUUUCUAUAUCAAGAUAUGAAUGUAACAACUUGAUCGAUAAAAGUUGACUUUCAAGUAAUUGAAUCAAAUGUAACUAUAAACUUAAGAUAAAGAAUGUAAAUUUGAAUAUAACAUUGAGAUUUUUGAGUGAUACAUUUAAAAUUACAAUAACAAACUAGGGACUUCCCUCUUCAUGCUGUACAGAGAGAUUCUAUAAGAUAUAAAAUGGAUAAUAACUAAUUAUUGCUAAAGAAUAGCUAAAAACACUACAAAAUUCACCUGCAUCAUACGCAUGUCGAAACGCCCAACAAAUAAAGUUACAGAUACCAACAGGUCAAAUACAGUCUUGAAUAAAUCAGCAGAAGUUCUGCACUAACAACCCAGGCAUCAGAAAUGAUCUCAAACUUUUUCCUUAUACCAAACUCUAAAAGUCAACGCCAGUGAUUAAGUUAUAAAACAUACCCAGAAUACCAGGGAACCAUGUCCAAGAAAUCAGGUUUGAGUUGUUGUUUCUUCAACUUUUCAUGUUCCUCGAGUGAAAUUGGGUGAGUAAGAGCCCAGCUGUUCAUUUUCAAGAGCCAAUAUAGAGGAUAAAUACAUAUACUCGUCAACCUGAUUUUUAGGGGAAGAAAGGACGGCAUAGCAUAACACAUGCAUCACCGUGCAUCAGUCGUGUAAGUGUUGCAGAUGUAGAAGUGUUCAAAUUCAAGAAUCAAGAGUGUGCAACACCAAGAUUUUAAGCCAUUUUAUUCUUUAUCAGUAAAUGGUACUUCAUUGAUAAGGAAAGAAAUUACAAACCCAUCCCACAGUGAGGUACGGAUAUAGCAAGGCACUAAACGCCACACACACACACUAGGAAAAAAACAAGAGUACAAAUACAAAGGGAACUAUCCCAUACCAUAGAUAAACCCCUAUUCCUUAACAAGCCCACCUACAACACAUGAAAUCAUGAAAGCGGUUCCCCUAGAAAGUAAUAUUCACCCUUCACCAAUCAUAAAGGCAUUCCUUGAAUUCCAUGAGAAUAUUGUAGUCUUUCUUAGUCUCAUUAUCAAAGAUCCUCCAACUAAGCUCCUUCCAAAUGGCCCACACCAAGGCCUUUGGUAGGUUGUCUACCAACCAUGAAUGAUACAUUUGUAUGAAAUAACCUUAAAAGUACGAGAUUUGCAGACACGAUCGGAAGACAUAAGCAACACAGUGAGUUGAAAACCGUCGAGGGAAAAUUUGGCUAUAUUCUAGGGUGAGCACAAUCAACUUAGAGGCUAGCAACCUAAAAAGGGGUCAGCGUUGCACAAUUAGGUUCAACCAUGUAGUGUAGUAGGCAUGAUGUUGAGGUGGGCAAGUGAUAAACAUAAGAAAAGAUAUAAAUGGACAUCAGAAACAUAUAGGAAACAAAGUGGUGUGUAAAAGUCUGUUAGGUUCGUUGGUAACUGCCAAUUCGUUUAGAAAACGAUUUGAACUAAAGUAUCUCUAGCUCGAUUCAAACAUACAAUUUAAAAUGUAAACUGUACAACAUUUAUAACACUGUCAACAGGUAUAAAAUUGCUCAAAUAGACCAACUACACCUAGCUUCUUUGCCUGGACCGAACAGCUCAAAAAUGGUCUCAAGCUAUACAAGAAAUACUUGAAACCUUGAUGGUCCAAAGGAUAUUAAAAGAGAUGAUACAAAUAAAGAUGGCACAUGCAUCUAGAGGACUAGCGCUACUUGGCCACUUAAAAAAGCACAACACGAAAAAUGGGGCAAUACAUCUCCACUGAAACAUAAACAUGUAGACCAAAAUUCCUAAGCACCUCAUCAUUUCUACAUGACACAUUACAAAACUAUUGCUAUAAGAAAACUUACCCUGUUGAUCGCUCCACCACAUAAUUGGCCAUGUAAAGACCUAUAAAGGUGGCCCACAGUGAAUAUAUGGGAGAAAUACCAUCUGAUUGACCCUCACAUGAACCAUUGCACGCUAACUGGAAAGCGAAAACAAAUGAUUGAAACAAUAAGAAAAUGGAAAUUAAUGACCAUAAAAAAUACCCCAGAGAAAAUUUAAAUAUAGAACUCAUGAAGGCAGUGGAUACCUCCCCAUAGAUGACCCAUUUAGACAAAAGGGGAUAAUCACUAGCAGAACCAACUGGAGCAAACCAAGACGAGCAAACUUGAUCCUUCAACUCGUUUAUAUGAAUGAGUUUUGCUAGCCAUGUGUUUCUUUCUUCACUCUUCCAAAAUGAAGAAGAAAACCAACUGAUGGCUUUCUGUUCAAAAGGUUUUUCUCUCAUAAUAGCACGAUUACCACAAUGACUAUAAAAUACACAACACGCUAUGCUUAGAACCUACACAAAAACAAUGGCAUUGAAAAAGAAAUAUUUCAGUGUCCAAAUGGAAGUAAACCCUGAAAUCUACAUAUCACAAACAAUAUCACAAGUAUUAAAGGCUUACUGCACAGUUUUGCAUGAUAGUAAAGACUUCGGGCUUCUUUCCAGCUACACGAGCAACAACUCCAAUAUACCAAAGACCAUAAAAUAUAAUAUGAAAAAAGAGAAUGAAUAAGAUGGAAGAGAUAUAUAUGGUCAAGAAUAGAGAGAGAUUCAUCCUCAUAUCCAAUCCCAUAGACUGAAAACUAGGAAGAUGAUACAGAGCUGCCACCAAAAUCCAUGCAAUAUACCUAAGAAGUAGCACUAUAUUAGUUGACAUAAACCAAUGACUAAUUCUCAAGUUCAACUAAUCUAAAUAUUUCGAAAGAUCCUGAUUUAUAUCAUAUCAAUCAGAAAUGGAAAUGGGAUCAAGAGAAAAGUAGUUACCAUCGACUGAAGUUUGAGUAGCUCGGUUUGAUAGUCUUCCCAAUGAAUGGAGAUGAAAAGAAGUAAAAAAAACCAAGUAAACAGGCAUACAUUGACCACCAUUUAACAUUGUUGUCCAGCUUCUGUACAAGGGUAUGCAUGUUGUCUGAGGAGAUAAAAAAUAGACACCCCACGACUACUGCAAUUAUUGCAUGACGUGAAUGUUCAUGUGGGUAUGGAUAAUUGUGUGUCAAAAUGGUCCUCACACUCUCCAUUUUAAGGUUAUCCAGUAACCCUAUGGACUGCUUAUUCGAAGCCAUCAAAAUGCUUUCCGGAAACUCGCGUUGCUUUCCUCACUUCAAACACUGGCUGAUAAAUGCAUCUAAUAGGCACCACAUCCAGCAUGGAGACAAACUUCCAUGGGCUAUUUUUUGACCACUAAAAGAAUCUGUAAGAAACAAAUUUCGUCAUCAUUUUUAGGAUAUACAAGUAACAACAAAUUAUAACAAAAAAGGUCAACCUAGACAAAUAGUCAAAUCAUUUUGAUGGUUGAUACAGUACUCAACAGAUUUGAACCUUCUUGUUUCUUUCAACCCGGAAAAAUCACUGAAAAGUUUAAAUGAUGGCUAUAUGUAUUUUUAUUUUUUAAGGAUAUAAAUGAUGCCAUUAAAUUUGAAGGCACAAUGUGAAAAUAGCCACUCUUAAGAAUACAAAAUAUGGUAGUGCAGCAUUUCAGAUUUUCUUUCUUCAUUUUAUUAUCAUCUAGUCUACAGCAGCAUAUUAAGGCCGCUCUAUGGUCACACUAUUAUCCUUGACAACUAUUGAGGAAUUAAAGAGCAAAUCAGCCAACAAGGUUAUAAAGAUAACAUCAGGUUGGGUCAUUUGAAAAUAAUUUCUCCUUCAGCUUACAAGUAAUUGAAGCAAUCUAGCUUCCUUAGAAGCACCAAUAUAAACCAAGAAGCGAGCGAGGCGGAAGAUCAAAUGCAAAUGAAGGUUCUGAUACAAAACCAUUCAUGAUUGCAGGGCCUUAAAUGACCAAGAUGACUCAUCAAAGACAUUGCAGAUAGAUAAGUGUGACAGAGAGAUUCCAUAUUUCAAAUGAUGAAACUCGUACAGACUUUCGAUGCAACUUGCAACAGCACUAUCGUUCUUUACAAGGUUGCAACCGUUGACUAGUUGUCUAGUUCCACCAUCUUGGAUAACAAACUUUUAGUGUGAAUUGAAUGCCUCAGAUCUUGAUAAAAACGAAAACAAAGAACAUUACUUAUAGAAUCUAAAAUUCCAUGAUCAGCUUCAAGCCAGCGAGUUUUAGAUUGUAUUGCAAAUGUUGAAAAGGCUUAUGAAUUUUGAGUUUAAAGUAUUGGAAGAUCGCCAGAUAAUGCAUUUAGUUGCUUCAAAAAAUUUGGUUCGUGUCAUCGCAAGAUGGAAUGACAAGCAGAUUUGUAUCUGACAUUCUGACAAGGUCUGCAAUGCAUUACUACUUGGGCAAGAUUUUGAACUGCACAGGAAACUCAUAACUCUUCAUUCUUUGCUUGACUCUACAUGUGUUGCCAAACUAUUUCACAAUGAGAAAUAGGCAUCAACAAGUAACUAAGAAGAUCCAGAAGAUCCCAUAUAGGCAUCAACAACUACGACUACAACACAUACCCAUGAGAGCCCACAUCAUUACAUCAUCGCCAUUGUUACAAAGAUUCCCCUAAACUAUCCUACCCUUUUGCAGGACCCGCAGCCUACAAUGGCCUCUCUCCCAUAGGUUCAUUAAAGGUUUUUUCAUCAUUGUCUUCGUCCUCCAAGAUCAGACAGUGUAUAUUCCACUAUUAUCAGAGCUAGGGUCUUCAAUAGUGAUCUUUUUACAGUGCAAACA